UUUUUUUUGGGUUUUCUUAAGGCUAAUUAAACACACAAGAAGAAAGCAUAAAAAGUAAAAUAAACUAGCAUGGAUGAUACAAUGAAAAAGUAUGAGCACUGACAUCUAGCAAUGAGUGUGUGAACAUGAAUGUAAUGUCGGUGGGAAAUACAUACUCCCCCAAGCUUAGGCUUUUUGCCUAAGUUGGUCUAUGGCCAAGGCUGGCCUGGCUGAUAUCCGUAAUAAAAGUUGGGGUCGUACUGAGAUGCAGCGGCUAUCGCCUCCUGAGCUGUAGUGUGGCAACGAGCGGCCUCCGACCUCUUCUCGUACUCAUCUGCCUCCUCUCUGGAAAUGACAUAUCUUCCUCUUGCCUGAUAAUCAAAGAGGGCAGGAACAGGGAGAGUAAUAUGGACAACACGGCGUCUGUCAAAAAUUAAGCGAUACUUGAGAGGUGAUUCAUUCCUCUCGACAAACUGGUGGUGAACCAUAGCAUUAAAAUCUAGAUAAGCAGGAGGUAAUUCAAUAUCGUCUUCGCGUAUGGCUACACCAAGAAAAUUAGCUAUGCGGGUUGCAUAAAUUCCCCCAAAGAAAUCUCCAUUAAAUCUAUUAAGAUGCAACCUACGUGCAACAAUGGCUCCCAAAUUAUAAGAUUUGUCUCCUAAGACAGCACUCCUAAGAAUACUGAGGUCAAGGACACACAUGUGACAUGCCUCAUCUUUAACAUUAAUGCAUCUACCUAUGAAGAGAGCAAAAUAAUGUAUAGCAGGAAAAUGAAUGCUCCCUAUGGUAGCUUGUGUUAUAUCUCUAGAUUCCCCCACAGUUAUACUAGCAAGAAAAUCUAUAAAUUCAGAUUUGCGAGGGUCCCUGAUACUACCCCAUUGUGGAAGUUUGCAAGCAGUGGUAAAAUCCUCUAAGUCCAUAGUGUAAGAAUUAUCAUAAAGAUCAAACAGGAUAGUUGGAGAAUUAUGUGAAGUUGAAAAUUCAAACCUCCUCACAAAGGAACUAGUGAGAUUGUGAUAUUGGCUGCACUUCUCUUACUCGAAGCUCACAAGAUCAGCGUUACGCAAAUAUGCGUUAAAUUCUUCUUUAAUUCCUGCUCGAUCCAUAAAGUUCUAAGAAGGCCAUUCACAAGGACGCACAGGAGCGUCUCUUGGUGGCUCGUCAUCAGCAUCACGCAUUGCAAGUCUGGGUCCUUGCUUCCUUGAAGAACCACCUUGAAACAUUUUCCUAAGCAUAUUUCUUCCUCUGAAAUUUUUCUGAAAAUUUUAGUAACUUCAAAAUAAAAGUAAACCAAACUCAAUAAUAUUGAUAGAAACUACUCCUACAAGUGCCUAGAGCCUAUAUCAUGCAUCAAAACUACUUUUGACCAUAUAAAUUUGACAUGCAAGCUCAAGAACAGGGUCACCUAAGCAGCAAAAAUUUGCAAUGAAUAAAGCACUAGAACAAAAACUAAUUGGACCAAUGGAGGAGUCACAUACCAAGGAACAAUCUCCCCAAGCAGUUUUGUGAGAGGUGCUUUGAGCAAGGAGAUCGAAAAUGGCAGCAAGAUGAGCUAGAACUCGUGCUUGAGCUGGAUAUUCGUGUUUGUGGUAGGAAGAAGAAGUGUGUGGGUGAAAGGAUAAAUGGAGGAGGGCAACCAUGGGCCCACGAGGCAGGAGGGCGCGCCCAGGGAGGUAGGGCGCGCCCUCCACCCUCGUGGGCAGGUGGUUGACCCCCCUGCUAUGUUCUCAGUGCCAAAUAUUCUCAAAUAUUCUGGAAAAAAAUCAUAUUUAGAUUUCAGGGCAUUUGGAGAACUUUUAUUUUUGAGGUAUUUUUAUAUUGCACGGAUAAUCAGAUAACAGACGGAAAAAUAUUAUUUUUAUUUUAUUUAAUAUAAAUAACAGAAAGUAAAAGUGGGGUACAGAAGGUUGUGCCUUCUAGUUUCAUCCAUCUCAUGAUCAUCAAAAGGAAUCCACUAACAAGGUUGAUCAAGUCUUGUUAACGAACUCAUUCCGAAUAACAUGGAACCGGAGAAAUUUCAAAUAACACUAUGUUACCUCAACUAGGAUAUGCACAUCCCUCAUAAUAAUAAUAUCAUAUUUCUUCUUGACAGUAGGAAGAGGAAAUUCAAACCCUCCAAAUAUAAUCGAUGGAAUUUUUCCAAUAGAGUUGAUACUAUGAACUUGAGGUUGUUUCCUCAGAAAGUGUACCGUAUGCUCAUUACCAUUAACAUGAAAAGCGACAUUGCCUUUAGUGCAGUCAAUAACAGCCCCUGCAGUAUUCAAAAAGGGUCUUCCAAGAAUAAUGGACAUACUAUCGUCCUCGGGAAUAUCAAGAAUAACAAAGUCCGUUAAAAUAGUAACGUUUGCAACUACAACAAGCACAUCCUCACAAAUACCGACAGGUAUAGCAGUUGAUUUAUCAGCCAUUUGCAAAGAUAUUUCAGUAGGUGUCAACUUAUUCAAAUCAAGUCUACGAUAUAAAGAGAGAGGCAUAACACUAACACCGGCUCCAAGAUCACUUAAGGCAGUUUUAACAUAGCUUCUUUUAAUGGAGCAUGGUAUAGUUGGUACACAGGGAUCUCCAAGUUUCUUUGGUAUUCCACCCUUAAAAGUAUAAUUAGCAAGCAUGGUGGAAAUUUCAGCUUCCGGUAUCUUUCUUUUAUUUGUAAUAAUAUCUUUCAUGUAUUUAGCAUAAGGAUUUGUUUUGAGCAUAUCAGUUAAUCGCAUACGCAAAAAGAUAGGUCUAAUCAUUUCAGCAAAGCGCUCAAAACCCUCAUCAUCCUUUUUCUUGGAUGGUUUGGGAGGAAAAGGCAUGGGUUUCUGAACCCGAGGCUCUCUUUCUUUACCAUGUUUCCUAGCAACAAAGUCUUUCUUAUCAUAACGUUGAUUCUUUGACUAUGGGUUAUCAAGAUCAACAGCAGGUUCAAUUUCUAUAUCAUUAUCAUUACUAGGUUGAGCAUCAUCAAUAACAUUAUCAUUAACAUUAUUACUAGUUUCAGGUUCAUUACGAGAUUGAGUUUCAGCAUCAGAAAUAGAAAUAUCAUUUGGAUUCUCACGUGUUUCAACAAUAGGAUCACUAGAAGCAUGCAAAGUCCUAUCAUUUUUAUUUUUCUUCUUCUUAGAACUAGGUGCGUCUAUAUUAUUUCUCUGAGAAUCUUGCUCAAUUCUCUUAGGAUGGCCUUCAGGAUACAAAGGUUCCUGAGUCAUUCUACCACCUCUAGUCAUAACUCUAACAGCAUGAUCAUUUUUCAACCCAAAUUUAUUGAUUCGACACAAGGGGAGCCAAAGAAUAUUCUCAAGUAUUAGCAGCUGAGUUGUCAAUUCAACCACACCUGGAAACUUAAUAUCUGCAGCAAAGUGUUUAGUAGCAAGGUAAUAUGAUAUUAGUGGUAAUGGUAGCAAAAGGUAAUAGUAGUAAAAGUAAUGUUUUUUGGUAUUUUGUAGUGAUGAUAGCAAUAGCAACGGAAAAGUAAAUAAGCGAAGAACAAUAUAUGGAAAGCUCGUAGGCAAUGGAUCGGUGAUGGAGAAUUAUGCCGGAUGCGGUUCAUCAUGUAACAGUCAUAACCUAGGGUGCUGGACUGGAUGUCAUAUCUAUGCAACGCUGCACAUCACCGGAGAUGCUGAAGAUGUGAAUUCAUGGGUGCUGGACUGGAUGUCUGAAAACACUCACUACACUGCACCAGCCCCUGAAUUGCUUCGUGCUCUCAAACUCAGUCCUCCCCUUGAAGAAGCUCGCUGCAUCUAUAGUGAACCUGAGCUCACACAUCAUUACAUGCAGGUGCUGAUGAAACCUUUGAAGCCAGGUCAAGCACCAAGAACCAAAUUCCUCGUGAAGGAAUUGUUGUACGUGCCUAGAACUGUCUAUCGUAUUCUUACGAGGACAAUCAGUCCUAUCAAAGGCCAUGACUCAUCUGAUGAGGAAAUUGUUGGCAUCAUGAAGAAUCUAGUAUUCAACAUCGUUCAUGGCAUUCCUGUCAAUUAUCACGAUUUCUUCAUGAGGACUAUGGCCAAUGUUGCACUGUCUCCGUUUGAGCUGAAGCCUUAUGCACCUUGGAUCAUGAGAUUCCUUAGGACAAGGUCUUCACUCAACUACAAAGCUGAUUUCCAGAAUCAUCUCAGCUACUUGCCCCCAAUUGAAGUCCUCAAGCAGACAUAUUCCUCAGUUGAUGGAAAGGGCAAGGCACCAGCUGUAAUUGAUGAAGGCAUUCGUCCAUUGGAUGGUCAGUUUCGCAAAGUUGCAUCUUAUUCCACCAAUGAUGACUCUGCCACACAUGACUGCCAAUGCACCUAAGUCCACUCCUCAAGCCACUGCUCCACGCGUGAUGACUGACCGUGAACUUCUGCUUAGUCUUCACCAGAAGGUGGAUCAAAAUCACAAAUGGGUUAAGCGUCAGUUUGGUUCACUUCUUCACAACAUGACUGCCACACACAAUGCAGUGAAGAAAAACCACUACUACCUCCAUCAAGUCUUCGGUCGCACCUGGGCAAUCCUGUCACAUCUGUAUGGUGAAGAAGAUCUGAAGAACAUGGGUCUUAAUGAAGAUUUUGACUGGUUUGCACCUCCACCAAAGAAAUUCAAGAAGGUCAAGGUUCCUUCUCUGGUGGCCAGCUCAUAUUCUUCAUCACGCGACACCGAUGAACAUGAAGAUUUGGACGACACUGCGGCAGGCCCUACAUCAACAAAUGACCCCAACAAUGCUGGCGCUCCUUCAUCAACAUGAUUAUCUUCAGGGAUGUUAGUCCUCAUUUUCGAUCAUUUUGGUCAUUCGAUGACAAAGGGGGAGAAAUAUGAGUUAGUCUUCAAGCGGGUCUACUAUAUGGGCGUUUUCUGCUAAGUUACAACUCUCGUUCUUCUAAAACUUUAUUGGAUCGAAUUGUAAUCUUAAACCCGAUGGUGCUCUGAUACUUUUUGAUGCACUAUUCUGCAUGCUUAUUCCUCGUUAAUAUUAUUGCACGCAUGCUGAAUUUCAUCAGGCACCAUAUUUCAUCAUGCAUUUCAAAUUCUUCAUAUUAUAUGUUAAGUGCAUGUAUGAAUUACAAGAUAUAGGGGGAGAUCUCCAUGAUUCAACUCUUCAAGUGUGCAUUGCUUCAAAAGCAAAUUCCUCACUAUGCACAUCUUCAGGGGGAGUUCUUCUAUAUCUUGCAAUCAAAUUCCUCAAUAUCAGUAUUUACACUUCAUAUGUUUAUCCCCAUUGAAAACUUAACCUAUAUUGUCAUCAAUCACCAAAAAGGGGGAGAUUGUAAGUGCAUCUAGUGCCCCUUAGUGAUUUUGGUGUAUUCAAGACUUAUAGGUUAAGGGACUAAUGCGUGUGUGAGUGUACAUAGGUCUAUAAGUCUAUGAGGAGUUUGAUAUUUACAGGAAAAGUCGACCCCUAAAAAUGAACAUCUUCGACUGAAGAUUUUGGUAUUUCUGAAGACUUUCAUGAAGACUUUAAAAGUGAAGAAAUUGGUGUGUCCGUGAAGACUUGAUAUUCAUGCGAGAAAUAUGAAGCUUGAAGACUUUCGUGUUCAUAGUUUUGUUUUUCUCUUUCUUGAGUCAUAGGAAACACUGUACUGUUAAAGGGGGUCGAGGAAAUACUAAGGAAAAAUUUCCAUGUGAUGCUCAACUCAAAAUCCUACACCUACCAAUCCCUUCCAGUGAAGCCAUUGGAAAUCUCAUACAGUUCAGUCAAUUUCUUCAUUGACAGAGACGAAGUUCUUCUGGUCUCUGAGGAAUUUGUCCUAAUUGAGGAGUUAGGAAUUCGCCAGUGUGGAUUGCCCACACAGUGAGGAACAUGAUAGCCCUGAGGAUUUUGCUACUCAAAAUUCCGACCGUUGCUGUGCUAUGCGCCAGCUGUCCCAAAAUAUCUAUCCACCUAACGGUCAUAUCAUUGAAGGGCAUUUAUGUCUUAUCAUGUCGGACUGCUCCCUAGGCUAUAAAUAGCCGCCCCCUACAACCACUAGCUGGUUGGCUGCUCCGAGAGAAACUGACACUUGUCAUUUGAGAGCAACCCAUCCUCCGAGGACUUUGAGCGAAAAUCAUCAAGUGAGGAAAAACCAAAAACCCAAAACCCAAACACCUACAAACCCCAAGUGAUUGAGCAUCACUGAAGAGAUUGAUCCUGAGUGGAUCCGACGCUUGUUACCUUUGAAGACUGUGCUUCUUCCAGACGGUUAGGCGUCAUGGUCUAGAGCAUCCAAGAGGAAUUGUGGAUCGCCGAGUGACCAAGUUUGUGAAGGUUUGGAAGUCGCCUGAAGACUUACCACGAGUGAUUGGACGAGGUCUGUGUGACCUUAGUUCAAGGAGAAUACGGUGAGGACUGGGUGUCUUGGACUAAGUGUCCUUGACUGGGUAUCCGGGACUGUGUGUCCUCGAGUUUAAAUAGUCAGCCGCUCCAACUAGACGUAAAACUGAGACAGCAGUUGGAACUGGUCUACCAAAUCAUUGUCUUCACCGACCUUACUGGUUUUAUUUCCUCAGCUCUUUCAUUUCCUCAUAAUUGUGUUGUAUGUUUGUUCAUAUCUGUGUUUGAAGACUUUGACUGAAGACUUUCUCAAUUUCCUCAAUUCAAUUUCUUCAGUCUGUUUGUCUUCAUCUUGAGUUAUCCUGUGAUUACGCUUCCUGUACUCUGUGCCUGUCUUCAUUUCAUCAUGAUGACUAUGCUUGUAUUCUAUUGUGUUUACUUUUGAGUACUUAUUUCGCUGCUAGUAGUUCUUCGCUCAGGAAUUUCCUCACAAGCAAAUUCCUCAGUGAAGAAUUUCAUAAAAAUCGCCUAUUCACCCCCCCUCUAGUCGAUAUAACGCACUUUCAUUCCAUCGAUUAUAUUUGGAGGUUUUGAAUUUCCUCUCCCUACUAUCAAGAAGAAAUAUGAUAUUCUUAUUAUUGGGGAUGUGCAUAUCCCCGUUGAGGUAACAUAGUGUUAUUCAAAAUUUCUCCGGUUCCAUGUUAUUCAGGAUGAGUUCGUUAACAAGACUUGAUCAACCUUGUUAGUGGAUUCCUUUUGAUGAUCAUGAGAUGGAUGAAACUAGAAGGCACAACCUUUUGUAGCCCACUUUUACUUCCUGUUAUUUAUAUUAAAAAUAAAAAUAAUACUUUUCCGUCUGUUAUCUGAUUAUCCGUGCAAUAUAGAAAUAUCUUGAAAAUAAAAGUUCUCCAAAUGCCCUGAAAUUUAAAUAUGAUUUUUUCCAGAAUAUUUGAGAAUAUUUGGCACUGAGAACACAGCAGGGGGGUCAACCACCUGCCCACGAGGGUGGAGGGUGCUCCCUACCCCCCUGGGCGCGCCCCCUGCCUCGUGGGCCCAUGGUGGCCCUCCUCCACUUAUCCUUUCACCCAUACACUUCUCCUUCCUCCCCCAAACACGAAUAACCAUCUCAAACCCGAGUUCAAGCUCGGUUUGCUGCCAUUUUCGAUCUCCUUGCUCAAAGCACCUCUCAGAAAACUGCUUAGGGAGAUUGUUCCUUGGUAUGUGACUCCUCCAUUGGUCCAAUUAGUUUUUGUUCUAGCGCUUUAUUCAUUGCAAAUUUUUGCUGCUUAGGUGACCCUGUUCUUGAGCUUGCAUGUCAAAUUUAUAUGGUCAAAAGUAGUUUUGAUGCAUGAUAUAGGCUCUAGGCACUUGUAGGAGUAGUUGCAAUCAAUAUUAUUGAGUUUGGUUUACUUUUAUUUUGAAGUUACUAAAAAUUUUCAGAAUUUUUCAGAGGAAGAAAUAUGCUUACGAAAAUGUUCCAAGGUGGUUCUUCAAGGAAGCAAGGACCCAGGCUUGCAAUGCAUGAUGCUGAUGAUGAGCCACCAAGAGACGCUCCAGUGCGUCCUGGUGAAUGGCCUUCUAAGAACUUUAUGGAUCGAGCGGGAAUUAAAUAAGAAUUUAACGCAUAUUUGCGUAACGCUGAUCUUGUGAGCUUCGAGGAAGAGAAGUGCAGCCAGUAUCACAAUCUCACUAGUUCCUUUGUGAGGAGGUUUGAAUUUUCAACUUCACGUAAUUCUCCAACUGUCCUAUUUGAUCUUUAUGAUAAUUCUUAUACUAUGGACUUAGAGGAUUUUACCACUGCUUGCAAACUUCCACAAUGGGGUAGUAUAAGGGAUCCUCGCAAAUCUGAAUUUAGAGAUUUUCUUGCUAGUAUAACUGUGGGGGAAUCUAGAGAUAUAACACAAGCUACCAUAGGGAGCAUUCACUUUCCUGCUAUACAUUAUUUUGCUCUCUUCAUAGGCAGAUGCAUUAAUGGUAAAGAUGAGGCAUGUCACAUGUGUGUCCCCGAUCUCAGUAUUCUUAGGAGUGCUGUGUUAGGAGAUAAAUCUUAUAAUUUGGGAGCCAUUGUUGCGCGUAGGUUGCAUCUUAAUAGAUUUAAUAGAGAUUUCUUUGGAGGAAUUUAUGCAACCCGCAUAGCUAAUUUUCUUGGUUUAGCCAUACGCGAAGAUGAUAUUGAAUUACCUCCUGCUUACCUAGGCUUUAAUGCUAUGGUUCACCACUAGUUUGUCGAGAGGAAUGAAUCCCCUCUCCAGUAUCGACUAAUCUUUGACAGGUGUCCUGCUGCCCAUAUUACUCUCCCUGCUCCUGCCUUCUUUGAUCAUCAGGCAAAAGGAAGAUAUACUAUUACCAGAGAGGAGGCAGAUGAGUACGAGAGGAGAGCAGAGGCCGCUCGUCGCCAUGCUGCAUCUCAGCAGGCGGUAGCCGCUGCAUCUCAAUACGACACCAACUAUUAUUAUGGAUAUCCGCCAGGCCAGCCAUGGCCAUAGACCAACUUAGGCCAAAAGCCUAAGCUUGGGGGACUACGUAUUUCUCGCCGACAUUACAUUUAUGUUCACACACUCAUUGCUAGAUGUCGGUGCUCAUACUUUUUCAUUGUAUCAUCCAUGCUAGUUUAUUUUCCUUUUUAUGCUUUCUUCUUGUGUGUUUAAUAAACCUUAAGAAAAUCCAUAAAAAUUAGUUGUAGCUUUUAAUUAAUUCACUUUCCAUGCCUGUAGUAGUAAUUAAAAAGAAAACCCAAAAAGAUUUCUUGUUCUUCUUUUGCUUGUUGGGAGCUUUCCCGUGUAAAUAGUUUUAUUUCUUUUCCUUUCUUUGGGGGUCGAUAGGCGAAGACCAUAAUUAAAUUGUUCAAGUGGCUCUUAUAUGCAUUAUUGUUGAUUUGACAAAAGAUCCCAUAUUGCCUUGUCUUCUCCUGUUUAUUGAAUGCUUGCAGAUUCCAGCUUAGUCCAAUGCAUGUGCACUAUUAUUAUUAUUCACAUCAUUCGAUCGUGCAAGUGAAGGGCAAUUAUGAUGAUAUAUGAUGAACUGACUGAGAUGAGAAAAGCUGGUAUGAACUCGACCUCUUUUGUUUUUGUAAAUAUGAUUAGUUCAUCGUUCCUGAUUUAGCCUAUUAUGAAUAAACAUGUUUGCAAUGACAACUAGAGAUCAUAGUUUCUUAUGCCAUGCUUGAUUAGCUAUGAGUUAUAAUGGUUUCCCUUGCGUGCCAACAUGCUAUUAAAAUGGUUAUGAUGUGGUAUGAUAGGGUGGUAUCCUCUUAUGAAUGAUUUAAGUGACUUGACUUGGCACAUGUUCACGCAUGUAGUUGAAACAAAAUCAACAUAGCCUUCACGAUAUUUAUGUUCAUGGUGGAUUAUAUCCUACUCAUGCUUGCAUUCGGUGUUGAUUAAUUUUAAUGCAUGUUCAUGACUGUUGUCGCUCUCUAGCUGGUCGCUUCCCAGUCUUUUGCUAGCCUUCACUUGUACUAAGCAGGAAUACUGCUUGUGCAUCCAACUCCAUAAACCCCAAAGUUAUUCCAUAUGAGUCUACCAUACUGAUACGUCACCAACAUAUCUACUUUUCCAAACACUUUUGCCCUUGUUUUGGACUCUAACUUGCAUGAUUUGAAUGCCCGGACUGACGAUGUUUUCAGCAGAAUUACCAUGGUUAUUUAUGUGCAGGAGCAAACGUGCUCGGAAUGACCUGAAACUUCAUGGAGCCACUUUUCAAAAAAUAAGAUAAAUACCUGCCAAAGAUGAAGGCCAGGGGGGCCACCGUCUCUCCACGAGGGUGGGGGCGCGCCCCUGUUGCCUCUCCGACUCCAACUCCACCUCAUAUAUUGAGUUUCGGGGAGAAAAGAGUCAAGGAGAAGAAAUCAUCGCAUUUUACGAUACGGAGCCACAGCCAAGCCCUAAAACCUCUCGGGAGGGCUAAUCUGGAGUCCGUUCGGGGCUCCAGAGAGGGGAAUCCGUUGCCAUCAUCAUCAUCAACCAUCCUCCAUCACCAAUUUCAUGAUGCUCACCGCCGUGCGUGAGUAAUUCCAUCGCAGGCUUGCUAGACGGUGAUGGGUUGGAUGGGAUCUAUCUUGUAAUCGAGUUAGUUUUGUUAGGGUUUGAUCCCUAGUGUCCACUAUGUUCUGAGAUUGAUGUUGCUAUGACUUUGCUAUGCUUAAUGCUUGUCACUAGGGCCCGAGUGCCAUGAUUUCAGAUCUGAACCUAUUAUGUUUUCAUCAAUAUAUGAGUGUUCUUGAUCCUAUCUUGCAAGUCUAUAGUCACCUAUUAUGUGUUAUGAUCCGUUAACCCCGAAGUGACAAUAAUCGGGAUACUUACCGGUGAUGACCGUAGUUUGAGGAGUUCAUGUAUUCACUAUGUGUUAAUGCUUUGUUCCGGUUCUCUAUUAAAAGGAGGCCUUAAUAUCCCUUAGUUUCUGUAAGGACCCCGCUGCCAUGGGAGGGUAGGACAAAAGAUGUUAUGCUAGUUCUUUUCCAUAAGCACGUAUGACUAUAUUCGGAAUACAUGCCUACAUUAUAUUAAUGAACUGGAGCUAGUUCUGUGUCACCCUAGGUUAUGACUGUUACAUGAUGAACCGCAUCCGGCAUAAUUCUCUAUCACCGAUCCAUUGCCUAUGAGCUUUCCAUAUAUUGUUCUUCGCUUAUUUACUUUUCCGUUGCUAUUGCUAUCAUCACUACAAAAUACCAAAAACAUUACUUUUACUACUUUUACCUUUUGCUACCAUUAUCACUACUAUCAUAUUACCUUGCUACUAAACACUUUGCUGCAGAUAUUAAGUUUCCAGGUGUGGUUGAAUUGACAACUCAGCUUCUAAUACUUGAGAAUAUUCUUUGGCUCCCCUUGUAUCGAAUCAAUAAAUUUGGGUUGAAUACUCUACCCUCGAAAACUGUUGCGAUCCCCUAUACUUGUGGGUUAUCUAGACUAUUUUCUGGUGCCGUUGCCGGGGAGCAUAGCUCUAUUCUUUGAGUCACUUGGGAUAUAUAUCUGCUUAUCAUUAUGAAGAACUUGAGAGAUCCAAAAAUCAAGAUCUAUCCCUCAACUACGAGGGGAGGUAAGGAACUGCCAUCUAGCUCUACACUUGAUUCACCUUCUGUUAUGAGUAAGUUUGCGACACCUACACCUGCUUCUGCUAUUCGUUCUGAUAUGUCGCAUGUUAUUGAUGAUGCCACUUCUGCUAUGCAUGAUACUUAUGAUGAAACUACCUCUAUGCCUGAUACUACUGUGCCACUUAGUGAUUUUCUUGAUGAACAACUUGCUAGGGCUAGAGAGAUUGAAAAUAUUGAAUCUGAUGAUACUGAUGAAAGUGAUGAUGAAGAAUCACUUGUUAUUCAUGAGGGUUAUUUAUUUGAUCAAGAAGCUUCUUUAGCUAUUUGAGCUUGCAGAAAUAGAAGUGAACUUAAAAGAUUAUUAGCUAAAUGGAGUAAGCAAUCUCUAAAUGCUAGAAUGAAACCUGACCCUGCUUUUGCUACUUCACCUAUCUUUGUUACUGAUAAGGAUUAUGAAUUCUCUGUUGAUCCUGAUAUAAUUACUUUGGUUGAAUCUGAUCCUUUUCAUGGUUAUGAAUCUGAAACUAUUGUGGCACAUCUUACUAAAUUGAAUGAUAUAGCCACCCUGUUCACUAAAGAUGAGAGAACUCGCUACUUUUAUAUCCUUAAAAUAUUUCCGUUCUCAUUAAAGGGUGAUACUAAGAUAUGCUUUAAUUAUCUUGAUCCUAGUUGUGUGCGUAGUCCCCAAGAUAUGAUUUAUUACUUCUCUGCUAAAUAUUUCCCUGCUCAUAAGAAACAACCUGCUUUAACGGAUAUAUAUAAUUUUGUGCAAAUUAAAGAAGAGAGUCUCCCACAAGCUUGGGGGAGGCUUCUCCAAUUACUUAAUGCUUUGCCUGAUCAUCCUCUUCAGAAAAAUGAAAUACUUGAUAUCUUUUAUAAUGGACUAACUGAUGCCUCCAGAGAUUACCUGGAUAGUUGUGCUGGUUCUGUUUUCAGGGAAAGAACAUCGGAUAAAGCUGAAAUUCUAUUGAAUAAUAUGUUGACAAAUGAAAAUAAUUGGACACCUCCGGAGCCAAUUCCUGAGCCUAUUCCUAAACCAACUCCGAAGAAGAUGGGUAUUCUAUUUCUCAGUCCUGAAGAUAUGCAAGAGUCAAAGAAAUCUAUGAAAGAAAAAGGUAUUAAAGCUGAAGAUGUUAAGAAUUUACCUCCUAUUGAAGAAAUACAUGGUCUUAAUUUACCGCCUGUUGAAGAAACAUAUAAUCUUAAUCCAUCUCCUAUUGAAGAAAUUCAUGGUCUUGAUAACCCGACAUAGGUAGUAAAGGUAAAUUCUCUCUAUAGAUAUGAUAAAGCUGAAAUCCCAUUUACUAAGGUUGCUAGCCCAUGCUUAGAUGAGUUUGAUAAAUUUAUGGCUAAGCAAGAAGAUUUUAAUGCUUAUUUUGGUAGACAAUUGAAAUACAAUUCAAAUAUGCUUGGACACUUGGGUGAUUAUAUGGCUAAUGUUAAAAGUGAACUUAAACUUAUUAGUAAACAUGCUUCUAUGGUUACUACUCAAGUAGAACAAGUACUUAAAGCUCAAAAUGAUUUGCUCAAUGAAUUGAAUAGUAAGAAUAAUGAUCAUGUUGUUAGAGUUAUGACUAGAGGUGGUAGAAUGACUUAGGAACCUUUGUAUCCUGAAGGCCAUCCUAAGAGAAUUGAGCAAGAUUCUGAGAGAAAUAAUAUAGAUGCACCUAGUUCUUCUAAAAAGAAGAAAAAGAAAAAUGAUAGGACUUUGCAUGCUUCUAGUGAUCCUAUUGUUGAAACACCUGAGAAUCCAAAUGAUAUUUCUAUUUCUGAUGCUGAAACACAAUCUGGUAAUGAACCUGAAAUUAAUGAUAAUGCUAAUGAUAAUGUUCAUGAUGAUGCUCAACCUAGUAAUGAUAAUGAUGUAGAAGUUGAACCUGCUGUUGAUCUUGAUAACCCACAAUCAAAGAAUCAACGUUAUGAUAAGAAAGACUUUGUUGCUAGGAAACAUGGUAAAGAAAGAGAACCUUGGGUUCAGAAACCCAUGCCUUUUCCUCCCAAACCAUCCAAGAAAAAGGAUGAUGAGGAUUUUGAGCGCUUUGCUGAAUUGAUUAGACCUAUAUUUUUACGUAUGCGAUUAACUGAUAUACUCAAAACCAAUCCUUAUGCUAAGUAUAUGAAAGAUAUUAUUACAAAUAAAAGAAAGAUACCGGAAGCUGAAAUUUCCACCAUGCUUGCUAAUUAUACUUUUAAGGGUGGAAUACCAAAGAAACUUGGAGAUCCCAGUGUACCCACUAUACCAUGCUCCAUUAAAAGAAACUAUGUUAAAACUGCUUUAUGUGAUCUUGGAUCUGGCGUUAGUGUUAUGCCUCUCUCUUUAUAUCGUAGACUUGAUUUGAAUAAGUUGACACCUACUGAAAUUUCUUUGCAAAUGGCUGAUAAAUCAACUACUAUGCCUGUCGGUAUUUGUGAGGAUGUGCCUGUUGUAGUUGCAAACGUUACUAUUUUAACGGACUUUGUCAUUCUUGAUAUUCCCGAGGACGAUAGUAUGUCUAUUAUUCUUGGAAGACCCUUUUUGAAUACUGCAGGAGCUGUUAUUGAUUCACUAAAGGCAAUGUCACUUUUCAUGUUAAUGGUAAUGAGCAUACGGUACACUUUCCGAGGAAACAACCUCAAGUUCAUAGUAUCAACUCUAUUGGAAAAAUUCCAUCAAUUAUAUUUGGAGGUUUUGAAUUUCCUCUUCCUACUGUCAAGAAGAAAUAUGAUAUUCUUAUUAUUGGGGAUGUGCAUAUCCCCGUUGAGGUAACAUAGUGUUAUUCAAAAUUUCUCCAGAUCCAUGUUAUUUGGAAUGAGUUCGUUAACAAGACUUGAUCAACCUUGUUAGUGGAUUCCUUUUGAUGAUCAUGAGAUGGAUGAAACUAGAAGGCACAACCUUCUGUACCCCACUUUUUCUUUCUGUUAUUUAUAUUAAAUAAAAUAAAAAUAAAUAUUUUUUUGUCUGUUAUCUGAUUAUCCAUGAAAUAUAAAAAUACCUCGAAAAUAAAAGUUCUCCAAAUGCCCUGAAAUUUAAAUAUGAUUUUUUUCUAGAAUAUUUGAGGAUUUAUGGUAGGGAGAACACACCAGGGGGGUCAACCACCUGCCCCCGAGGGUGGAGGGUGCGCCUACCCCUCUAGGGCACGCCCCCUGCCUCGUGGGCCCAUGGUGGCCCUCCUCCACUUAUUCUUUCACCCAUACACUUCAUCUUCCUCCCACAAACACGAAUAACCAUCUCAAACCCGAGUCCAAGCUCAUUUUGCUGCCAUUUUCGAUCUCCUUGCUCAAAGCACCUCUCACAAAACGGCUUGGGGAGAUUGUUCCUUGGUAUGUGACUCCUCCAUUGGUCCAAUUAGUUUUUGUUCUAGUGCUUUAUUCAUUGCAAAUUUUUGCUGCUUAGCUGACCCUGUUCUUGAGCUUGCAUGUCAAAUUUAUAUGGUCAAAAGUAGUUUUGAUGCAUGAUAUAGGCCCUAGGCACUUGUAGGAGUAGUUGCUAUCAAUAUUAUUGAGUUUGGUUUACUUUUAUUUUGAAGUUACUAAAAAAAUUCAGAAUUUUUCAGAGGAAGAAAAAUGCUUAGGAAAAUGUUCCAAGGUGGUUCUUCAAGGAAGCAAGGACCCAGGCUUGCAAUGCAUGAUGCUGAUGACGAGCCACCAAGAGACGCUUCAGUGCGUCCUUGUGAAUGGCCUUCUGAGAAUUUUAUGGAUCGAGCAGGAAUUAAAGAAGAAUUUAACACAUAUUUGCGUAAUGCUGAUCUUGUGAGCUUCGAGGAAGAGAAGUGCAGCCAGUAUCACAACCUCACCAGUACCUUUGUAAGGAGGUUUGAAUUUUCAACUUCACGUAAUUCUCCAACUGUCAUGUUUGAUCUUUAUGAUAAAUCUUAUACUAUGGACUUAGAGGAUUUUACCACUGCUUGUAAACUUCCACAAUGGGGUAGUAUAAGGGAUCCUCACAAAUCUGAAUUUAGAGAUUUUCUUGCUAGUAUAACUGUGGGAGAACCUAGAGAUAUAACACAAGCCACCAUAGGGAGCAUUCACUUUCCUGCUAUACAUUAUUUUGCCCUCUUCAUAGGUAGAUGCAUUAAUGGUAAAGAUGAGGCAUGUCACAUGUGUGUCCCUGACCUCAGUAUUCUUAGGAGCGCUAUGCUAGGAGACAAAUCUUAUAAUUUGGGAGCCAUUGUUGCACGUAGGUUGCAUCUUAAUAGAUUUAAUAGAGAUUUCUUUGGGGGGAUUUAUGCAACCCGCGUAGCUAAUUUUCUUGGUAUAGCCAUACGCGAAGAUGAUAUUGAAUUACCUCCUGCAUAUCUAGAUUUUAAUGCUAUGGUUCACCACAAGUUUGUCGAGAGGAACGAAUCACCUCUCCAGUAUCGACUAAUCUUUGACAGACGCCAUGUUGUAUGUAUUACUCUCCCUGCUCCUGCCUUCUUUGAUCAUCAGGCAAAAGGAAGAUAUACUAUUACCAGAGAGGAGGCAUAUGAGUAUGAGAGGAGAGCGGAGGCCGCUCGUCGCCAUGGUGCAGCUCAGCAGGCGAUAGCUGCUGCAUCACAGUACGACCCCAACUAUUAUUAUGGAUAUCCACCGGCCAGCCGUGGCCAUAGACCAACUUAGGCCAAAAGCCUAAGCUUGGGGGAGUACGUAUUUCCCACCGACAUUACAUUCAUGUUCACACACUCAUUGCUAGAUGUCGGUGCUCAUACUUUUUCAUUGUAUCAUCCAUGCUAGUUUAUUUUCCUUUUUAUGCUUUCUUCUUGUGAGUUUAAUAAACCUUAAGAAAAAUAAAAAAUAAGUUGUAGAUUUUAAUUAGUUUAAUUUCCAUGCUUGUAGUAGUAAUUAAAAAGAAAACCCAAAAAGAUUUCCUAUUCUUCUUUUGCCUAUUGGGAGCUUUCCCGUGUAAAUAGUUUUAUUUAUUUUAUUUUCUUUGGGGGUCGAUAGGAGAAGACCAUAAUUAAAUUGUUGAAGUGGCUCUUAUAUGCAUUAUUGUUGAUCUGACAAAAGAGCCCAUAUUGCCUUGUCUUCUCCUGUUUAUUGAAUGCUUGCAGAUUCCAGCUUAGUCCAAUGCACGUGCACUAUUAUUUUUAUUCACACUAUUCGGUCGUGCAAGUGAAGGGCAAUUAUGAUGAUAUAUGAUGAACUGACUGAGAUGAGAAAAGCUGGUAUGAACUCGACCUCUUUUGUUUUUGUAAAUAUGAUUAGUUCAUCGUUCCUGAUUUAGCCUAUUAUGAAGAAACAUGUUUGCAAUGACAACUAGAGAUCAUAGUUUCUUAUGCCAUGCUUGAUUAGCUAUGAGUUAUAAUGGUUUACCUUGCGUGCCAACAUGCUAUUAAAAUGGUUGUGAUGUGGUAUGAUAGGGUGGUAUCCUCCUAUGAAUGAUUUAAGUGACUUGACUUGGCACAUGUUCACGCAUGUAGUUGAAACAAAAUCAACAUAGCCUUCACGAUAUUUAUGUUCAUGGUGGAUUAUAUCCUACUCAUGCUUGCAUUCAGUGUUGAUUAAUUUUAAUGCAUGUUCAUGACUGUUGUCGCUCCCUAGCUGGUCGCUUCCCAGUCUUUUGCUAGCCUUCACCUAUACUAAGCGGGAAUACUGCUUGUGCAUCCAAUCCCUUAAACCCCAAAGUUAUUCCACAUGAGUCCACUAUACCUAGCUAUAUACGGUAUCUACUUGGCGUUCCAAGUAAAUUUGUAUGUGCCAAACUCUAAACCUUCAAAUAAAUAUCCUUUUUUGUAUGCUCGAAUAGCUCAUGUAUCAACUAGGGCUAUCCGUAUCUUCCAUGUUAGGCGGGUUAUUCUCAAGAGGAGUGGACUUCGCUCCUCACUCACGAGAUAAAUGGCUGGUCACCGGGAUGCCCAGUCCCAUGCUUUAUGCAAACUAAAUCAAAAUAAUUGCAAACAAAACUCCCCCUGGGACUCUUGUUAGUUGGAGGCAGUUGUUGUUUCAAGCAAGCCAUGGAUUGAUGCUUGUUUGUGGAAGGGGGAGUAUAAACUUUACCAUUCUGUUUGGGAAUAAACUUUACCAUUCUGUUUGGGAACCGCCUAUAAUGUGUGUAGCAUGGAAGAUAUUGCCAUCUCUUGGUUGUUAUGUUGACAAUGAAAGUAUACCCCUCAAAAUAUUAUUCACCUCUGUUUCAAAAUUGAGCUCUGGCACCUCUACAAAUCCCUGCUUCCCUCUGCGAAGGGCCUAUCUAUUUACUUUUAUGCUGAGUCAUCAUCCUCUUAUUAAAAAGCACUAGUUGGAGAGCACCGCUGUCAUUUGCAUUCAUUACUGUUAGUUUACAUCGAGUAUGACUUAACUGGAUCUCUUUUACCAUGAAUUACAAUGUAUAUUCAGUCCUUGGUCUUUAAAUGUGCUCUGCACUUAUGUUUUGCGGUCUCAGAAAGGGCUAGCGAGAUACCAUCUUGUUAUAUCAUAUUAUGAUUGUUUUGAGAAAGUGUUGUCAUCCGAGAUUUAUUAUUAUGGCUCGCUAGUUGAUUAUGCUAUUGAUAUGAGUAAACUUGGGACCUAUGUGUUAUUGCGAAUGUUGUUAGUUAUAAUCUUUGCUGAAAACUUGAAUGCUGGCUUUUCAUAUUUACAAUAACAAGAGCAAACAGAGUUUGUAAAGCUUUUUCUUUAUCACUUUCAGUUUGUCAACUGAAUUGCUUGAGGACAAGCAACGGUUUAAGCUUGGGGGAGUUGAUACGUAUCCAACGUAUCUACUUUUCCAAACACUUUUGCCCUUGUUUUGGACUCUAACUUGCAUGAUUUGAAUGGAACUAACCCGGACUGAUGUUGUUUUCAGCAGAAUUGCCAUGGUGUUAUUUAUGUGCAGGAGCAAACGUUCUCGAAAUGACCUGAAACUUCACGGAGCCACUUUUAAGAAAAUAAGAAAAAUACCUGCCAAAGAUGAAGGCCAGGGGGGCCACCGUCUCUUCACGAGGGUGGGGGUGCGCCUGCCCCCCUAGGGUGCGCCCCACUACCUCGUGGGCCCCCUAUUGCCUCUCCGACUCCAACUCCACCUCCAUAUAUUGAGUUUCGUGGAGAAAAAAAUCAAGGAGAAGAAAUCAUCGCGUUUUACUAUACGGAGCCGCCGCCAAGCCCUAAAACCUCUCGGGAGGGCUGAUGUGGAGUCCGUUCGGGGCUCCGGAGAGGGGAAUCCGUCGCCAUCAUCAUCAUCAACAGUCCUCCAUCACCAAUUUCAUGUUGCUCACAGCCGUGCAUGAGUAAUUCCAUCGUAGGCUUGCUGGACGGUGAUGGGUUGGAUGGGAUCUAUCAUGUAAUCGAGUCAGUUUUGUAAGGGUUUGAUCCCUAGUGUCCACUAUGUUCUGAGAUUGAUGUUGCUAUGACUUUGCUAUGCUUAAUGCUUGUCACUAGGGCCCGAGUGCCAUGAUUUCAGAUCUGAACCUAUUAUGUUUUCAUCAAUAUAUGAGUGUUCUUGAUCCUAUCUUGCAAGUCUAUAGUCACCUAUUAUGUGUUAUGAUCCGUUAACCCCGAAGUGACAAUAAUCGGGAUACUUACCGGUGAUGAUCGUAGUUUGAGGAGUUCAUGUAUUCACUAUGUGUUAUUGCUUUGUUCCGGUUCUCUAUUAAAUUGAGGCCUUAAUAUCCCUUAGGUUCCGUAAGGACCCCACUGCCAUGGGAGGGUAGGACAAAAGAUGUUAUGCAAGUUCUUUUCCAUAAGCACGUAUGACUAUAUUCAGAAUACAUGCCUACAUUAUAUUAAUGAACUGGAGCUAGUUCUGUGUCACCCUAGGUUAUGACUGUUACAUGAUGAACCGCAUCCGGCAUAAUUCUCUAUCACCGAUCCAUUGCAUACGAGCUUUCCAUAUAUUGUUCUUUGCUUAUUUACUUUUCCGUUUCUAUUGCUAUCAUCACAACAAAAUACCAAAAACAUUACUUUUACUACUUUUACCUUUUGCUACCAUUAUCACUACUAUCAUAUUACCUUGCUACUAAACACUUUGCUGCAGGUAUUAAGUUUCCAGGUGUGGUUGAAUUGACAACUCAGCUGCUAAUACUUGAGAAUAUUCUUUGGCUCCCCUUGUGUCGAAUCAAUAAAUUUGGGUUGAAUACUCUACCCUUGAAAACUGUUGCGAUCCCCUAUACUUGUGGGUUAUCACAUACCUACCUAUAUACGGUAUCUACCUGCUGUUCCAAGUAAAUUUGUAUGUGCCAAACUCUAAACCUUCAAAUAAAUAUCCUGUUUUGAAUGCUCGAAUAGCUCAUGUAUCAACUAGGGUUGUCUGUAUCUUCCAUGUUAGGCAGGUUAUACUCAAGAGGAGUGGACUCCGGUCCUCACUCACGGGAUAAAUGGCUGGUCACCGGGAUGCCCAAUCCCAUGCUUUAUGCAAACUAAAUCAAAAUAAUUGCAAACAAAACUCCCCCUGGGACUCUUGUUAGUUGGAGGCUCUCGUUGUUUUGCGCAAUCCAUGGAUUGAUGCUUGUUGGUGGAAGGGGGAGUAUAAACUUUACCAUUCUGUUUGGGAACCGCCUAUAAUGUGUGUAGCAUGGAAGAUAUCGCCAUCUCUUGGUUGUUAUGUUGACAAUGAAAGUAUACCGCUCAAAAUAGUAUUCACCUCUAUUUCAAAACCGAGCUCUGGCACCUCUACAAAUCCCUGCUUCCCUCUGCGAAGGGCCUAUCUAUUUACUUUUAUGCUGAGUCAUCACCCUCUUAUUAAAAAGCACCAGUUGGAGAGCAGCACUGUCAUUUGCAUUCAUUACUGUUAGUUUACAUUGAGUAUGACUUGACUGAAUCUCUUUUACCAUGAAUUACAAUGUCUAGUCAGUCCUUGGUCUUUAAAGGUGCUCUGCAUUUAUGUUUUGCGGUCUCAGAAAGGGCUAGCGAGAUACCACCUUGUUAUAUCAUAUUAUGAUUGUUUUGAGAAAGUGUUGUCAUCCGAGAUUUAUUAUUAUGGCUUGCUAGUUGAUUAUGAUAUUGAUAUGAGUAAACUUGAGACCUAUGUGUUGUUGUGAAUGUGGUUAGUUAUAAUCUUUGCUGAAAACUUGAAUGUUGGCUUUACAUAUUUACAACAACAAGAGCAAAUAGAGUUUGUAAAAGCUUUUCUUUAUCACUUUCAGUUUAUCAACUGAAUUGCUUGAGGACAAGCAAAGGUUUAAGCUUGGGGGAGUUGAUACAUCUCCGUCGUAUCUACUUUUCCAAACACUUUUGCCCUUGUUUUGGACUCUAACUUGCAUGAUUUGAAUGGAACUUACCCAGACUGACGUUGUUUUCAGCAGAAUUACCAUGGUGUUAUUUAUGUGGAGAAACAAACGUUCUUAGAAUGACCUGAAACUUCAGGGAGCAACUUUUUGGAAAAUAUGAAAAAUACCUGCAAGAGAUGAAGGCCAGGGGGCCCACCACCUCUCCACGAGGGUGGGGGGCGAGCCUGCCCCCCAAGGGUGCGCCCCCCUACCUCGUGGGCCCCCUGUCUCCUCUCUGACUCCAACUCCAACUCUAUAUAUUGUGUUUCGGGGAGAAAAAAUUCAGAGAGAAGAAUUCAUUGUGUUUUACAAUACGGAGCCGCCGCCAAGCCCUAAAACCUCUCGGGAGGGCUGAUGUCGGUGUCAAAACCGGCGGAUCUUGGGUAGGGGGUCCCGAACUGUGCGUCUAGGCCAGAUGGUAACAGGAGGCAAGGGACACGAAGUUUUACCCAGGUUCGGGCCCUCUCGAUGGAGGUAAAACCCUACGUCAUGCUUGAUUAAUAUUGAUGAUAUGGGUAGUACAAGAGUAGAUCUACCACGAGAUCAGAGAGGCUAAACCCUAGAAGCUAGCCUGUGGUAUGAUUGUUGAUGUAUAUGUUGUCCUACGGACUAAAACCCUCCAGUUUAUAUAGACACCGGAUAGGGUUAGGGUUACAUAGAGUCGGUUACAAUGGUAGGAGAUCUGAAUAUCCGUAUCGCCAAGCUUUCCUUCCACGCCAAGGAAAGUCCCUUCCGGACACGGGACGGAGUCUUCAAUCUUGUAUCUUCAUAAUCCAGGAGUCCGGCUGAAGGUAUAGUUCGGCUAUCCGAACACCCCCUAAUCCAGGUCUCCCUCAGUAGCCCCCGAACCAGGCUUCAAUGACGAUGAGUCCGGCACGCAGAUUGUCUUCGGCAUUGCAAGGCGGGUUCUCCUCCAAAUUCCAUGUACCUGUUGAAUAAAGUCUGGUUUCUUGUAGAUGUUGCGUUCCUUGGCUUCUGCGCCCAAUAAUGGCUGCUCCCCAUGUGUCAAACGAAUAUGAAAGGUCUGAGUGUUUUUAUAUUCACACCCCUAGCCGCGUAAACAAGUUGACCUAUUUAAAUAGAUGAGGAUUUAGAUCCAAACCACACCUUCCAACUUCGCGAGUGUUCAUCAGAGCGCAUUCGACAAAGAUCCAUUCCACCAUGGCCAGCCGUCGUGACUCCUCCUCCCGCCCUUCCAGCCCUAAGCCUAGACAUUGGGAAAGAUGCUCCAUCCCGUAUAGCGAGUUAGUGACGCUCCAGACCAAGGGAUUUCUCCCCCCGGCCUAUAUGAUCCCGGUUCGAGCCGGUCUUGCCGUCUAUAACGGCGGAGGGCAAGCGGAGAGCGCCCCUAAUCCCUCCAAAGGAGAGCGGGUGUGCCUCGUCCCUUAUUUAAUAAGGGGGCUCGGAUUUCCCAUCCACCCAUUUCAUCGGGGGCUGCUGGAGUUCUACGGCCUCCAGCUACAUCAUCUCACGCCUGCCUCAGUAUUGCAUAUCAUGGGCUUUGUAGCCCUCUGCGAGCUGUUCUUGGGUGUUGAAGCUCAUUUUGGACUGUGGAGGGAGGUAUUUUGCCUCGUGCCUUGUUCCAAGAAGGGGUCUAUGUAUCAAGUGGGCGGAGCUGAAGUAAGGCGCAUCGCCGGGACCGGCUAUCUGUCCGGAACCCCAAAGAAGGCGUCCGAAGACUGGCCCUCGGAAUGGUUUUACAUAGAAGACGUCCCGCUGCCGGAUCCUGUCUGGAUCGGCCUCCCUGAAUUCAACAAUGCUCCCUUAAAGAAGCGCCUAAGCUGGCGCCCUCGGAGCCCUCAGAGGGAAAGUGACAGGGACGUUGUUUACCUAAUGGGCCAGAUAAGAUUGUUAGCUCAUUCCGGACUAACCAUGAUCGGGGUCAUGGCCGCAUGCAUCAUGCGAGGGGUGCAGCCGCUACAGUAUAGAAGCCACCCCAUGUGGGAUUUCAACAGGGAGGACGACACCACCCGCUACGGCCGUAAGGGGCCGGAUUCGGCUGCGGCUCUAAUAAAGACCUUGUCCGCUUUGUACAAGGGAGAAGAGGAGGAUUUUCUCCGUGUUAACCCAAAGGGUGGAUUUUCCAUGUACAAUCCUCCAAGCUGGGUGAGUGAUCACAUCUUGCCCAUCCGUUUUAUAUCCCCAUUGUUAAAUAUUUAAUCUUAGCUAUUUCAACGCAGGAACUGCGCCAGGUCGUUAAAGAAAUAAACAGCCCUCCUCCACAACCCGAGGACCCAGGAUGGUCCCUCGACCCGGACUCGCAAGAGGAUCCGAAGCUUUCGGUGGAUCUGAUUGAUGGAGUGUUCCAUCAAUUGAGCAAGGACAACGCCCUGGUGGCCAUUACAGCCGAUUAUCCAGGGCUAAUCCCGGCCUCCCAGAAACGGGAGGCCGAACCUGCGGUGAUAAGCCAAAGAGGGGCCGCAGGGCCCCAUGGGCAGAAAAGAGGUGCAGUCCGGACCGGGGCGUCAGCGCAAAGGUAUGGCGCACCCCCUUAUCCCAGGUGUCGUACCUUCAGGGCAUAUUAACACUUGUGCCCUCUUCAGGCAAAGAGACCUCGCCGAACUAUAUUCGGAGAGACCGCCAAUCGCGCCUCCACCAGCCAGGCUCCAAAGCCUGGCCCGGAAGCGGGGCCGAACACAAGGCGCGCACCGGACGCUCCUCCGACGGAGGAUGUGGACAGUUUGUCUGCCACCAACUCUGAGGUGGAGAGUGCCAUGAACACAGGCAUCGCCGUACAAUUCUUUGCGACGCUUGUUUCUCCCAAGAGGCGUUAGAUGCCUUUAAGUCGGGAGAUGCGUACCUCUGUGCCGCUCAAAAUGGUCUAAGUAACCAGAGCCACGGAGCAAUAUGUAAAAGACAUACGGGUAAGAAAAUUUUGGUAAUUAUAUAUAUACCAGUAGCCCCCGAGACUUGAAACAGUUAAAAUAACUGAUUUAAGGAUCAUUUGUUAUGCAGGUUCUUACAGAAAAGAAUUCCCUACUGUCCAAGGAGCUAGAAGAGUGCAAAGCCCAACUUGAGGCCGCACUAGCCGCGGCAGGGGAGCCUAAGGAGGCCCCCGCUGGUAAUAUAUACUUCGAAAGAUAAGUAUUUUGCGAAGCACGGCUUUGGUGUGAAUCUGACAAAUGAAAUUGCAGAUGGCGCUGGAUUGGAUCCAGAAAGGCAACAUCUCCUACGCCAGCUAAAGGCUGGUGAGAGGAUGCUGUUGAAGGUGAUGGGGGAGAAGAACAAUCUCCGAGAUGCCAACACCAACCUGGCCGUCGAGCUGAAAGAUGUUCGUGCCCAGCUGUCACACUCCGUGAAGGAGAAUCAGCGGCUUCGGGCGGCAUAUUUAUUAAGUGCUUGAACGAACCUUUUAAAAGAAAGUUCGGUGGGGAAGUCGACUAACAGAGCAAUGUCUGUAGGUGUGCUGACAGGCCGUCCUGCAGAGGAGAUGCCCGGUUCUACGGGUGACCUUCUUCCCGAGCUCUCGCAACUGCUCGAUCGAGUUCGGCAGGCGAUGCGAGGCGUCGCACAGGCCCUGUGGCCAUCCGUCUCCAUGCCCGAAGGUCUUGGAGAGCUUGCGGAGAAUCUAAAAGGAGAACGGCAGCGCUUCCGAUUGUGGAAGAUACCAGCCUGCCGUCAAGGCGCUAGGGAGGCCUGGGCCAUGGUGAAGACGCGGUAUGCAAAGGAUGACCCCAACCACAUGGCCGAGGUCGGUCCUAUAGUGCCCGAUGGGAAGGAGAUCCCUGUAAGCUUAGUAUACGGCCAAGUAGAGUUGGCCGCAAAGUAUUCCCAGCAGGACUGUAAAUUAGACAGCCUGUUAGAUGGUAUUGAAGAGGAAUACGAUCAGUCAAAAUGACUAUGUAAUUUAGUUGACAUUUAUAAUGUCUUCUAGCUGGAUUGUAGAUCAUUUGUCAUGGCCGACCUUUUCGCUUCAGCCUCGGGACCUGACGGUCCGGAGUGUGUCCGAAUUCCCAUGUGGCUAUAUAGGAACCAGGGAAUGCAUGGAGACCAGGCGUAGGGGUCAUUAGUGCGUGAACAGACAAGUGCCCGACUAGUUAUGUUAUAUUACAUGGUUAGUAAGAAACAUCUUCCAGGGAGAAUAGUUUCGUUAGGGGUUCCUUUCCCUGGGAGGCAUGCCCUAAGGUGCAUGUCCAUGCUGCAAAAAGAAACGCAGGAAAAACAUCUGGGGGCAUAAAAAAUAAAAAGGAUCAUCUUUAGUUCACUAACCGAAUGUUCCCUUAAGAACGCUAGCUUUCAGUUUCACCCAGUCUGAGGUACACGUCCGGCUGACCCGGCAGUAACAAUCGCAGAGGUGCUCCCUGUACCACCUAGCCGAACAAUCGGGAACAUAGGGGUGAGCACAGGAGCCAGGCAACCCAGCUUGGCCAAAACUUAAGUCAUAUCGAUGCAUAUAAUGGUGAAUAAAAGGUACAUGCGGAAGUGUGACGCAUGUGUUGGGCAUGAAGCCCGUAUGAAUAAGCUUCUGUUUAAAGAAGCCCCCAGGUUUAAUGAGCGCCGAUGGCGCAUCACUGUAUGAGCCUUUAAGGGCUAUAAGAGAGAGAGAAAAGAAGAAGAGAAAUGCAAGACAGAAAAUAUAUAAAAAAUGGACAGAGGAAGGAGACGAACAUAGAGUCCGGCGCUAGGCAUAGAAUCUUCGGAGACGGGCUACGUUCCAUGGGUUCGGCUCGAGUCGGUUAUCCGAUGCAUCUCGCAGGCGGUACGCUCCACCAGUCAGGACUUGGUCAAUUAUGAAGGGACCUUCCCACUUGGGCUUGAGUUUGUCCUUUUUCUUGUCCGGUAGUCGUAGAACUAAUUCGCCAACGUUGUAAUUUUUGGCCCGUACUUCUCUACUUUGGUAUCUUCGAGCCUGCUGUUGAUAGAAUGCGGAACGGGCUUUUGCCACGUCACGCUCCUCCUCCAAUGCGUCUAAGCUGUCCUGCCGAUCGAGCUCGACUUCUCUUUCUUCGUACAUGCGCACUCGAGGUGAGUCAUGAAUUAUGUUGCGGGGCAACACUGCCUCUGCGCCGUACACCAUAAAGAAUGGUGUGUAUCCGAUGGUGCGAUUCGGUGUGGUCCGCAGCCCCCAGAGUACGGAGUCGAGCUCCUCUACCCAGUGCGUGUUAGAUUCCUUGAGGGACCGCACUAAUCUCGGUUUAAUGCCGCUCAUGAUAAGACCAUUUGCACGUUCGACCUGGCCGUUACUAUGUGGGUGAUAGACGGAAGCAUAGUCGAGCUUGAUGCCCAUGUUUUUGCACCAGAGUUUUACCUCGUCGGCCGUGAAGUUCAUGUCGUUAUCAGUGAUGAUGCUGUGGGGAACGCCGUAACAGUGUAUGACCCCGGAUAUAAAGUCUAUCACCGGUCCGGAUUCGGCCGUCUUAACAGGCUUGGCUUCUAUCCAUUUGGUGAAUUUAUCCACCAUGACCAGUAAGUAUUUUUGCUUGUGGGUUCCUCCUUUAAGGGGUCCAACCAUGUCAAGCCCCCAGACCGCGAAGGGCCAAGUAAUGGGGAUGGUUCGGAGGGCGAUGGGUGGCAUAUGGCUUUGGUUUGCAAAGAGCUGGCAACCGGUGCAUCGUUGGACUAAGUCUUGAGCGUCUUCCCGGGCCGUCGACCAAUAAAAGCAUGUACGGAAGGCCUUGCUUACGAGGGACCGAGCUGCAGCGUGAUGACCGCCCAGUCCGGCAUGAAUUUCAGCCAGGAGGUUCCACCCCUCCUCUUCGGAGAUGCACCUUUGAAGGACUCCGGUAGUGCUUUUCUUAUAAAGCUCUCCCUCGUGGACUCUGUAGGCUUUGGAUCACCGCACUAUGCAGCGUGCCUCAUUUUGGUCCUCGGGGAGUUCCUGCCUAGUGAGGUAGGCGAGGAAUGGUUCUAUCCACGGGGCGAUGACGGCCAUUAUUACGUGGGCUGAAGGUGUUAUUUCAUUGGUAGAACCUCCGAUUGUGUCAGAAUGUUCGGUGUCGGGCAGUGCGGUUUGGUCCGGGGUGUUAUUGUUUGGCUCCCCUUCCCAUACUACGGAUGGCUUGAACAGCCUUUCCAGGAAGAUGUUGGGGGGACUACAUCGCGUUUUGCGCCGAUGCGUGCCAGGACAUCUGCCGCCUGAUUAUUUUCCCGGGCUAUAUGGUGAAAUUCAAGCCCCUCGAACCGAGCUGACAUUUUUAGGACGGCGUUGCGGUAAGCUGCCAUUUUUGGAUCCUUGGCAUCGAAGUCUCCAUUUAUUUGGGAUAUAGCGAGGUUCGAGUCCCUGCGCACCUCUAGGCGUUGAAGGCCCAUGGAUACUGCCUUCCGGAGACCAUGUAAAAGGGCCUCAUAUUCGGAUGCGUUGUUGGAGUCCGUGAACAUAAUCUGGAGUACGUAUUGAACUGUGUCUCCUGUGGGGGACGUCAAAACGACGCCAGCCCCCAGUCCGGCCAACAUCUUGGAGCCGUCAAAAUGCAUGAUCCAAUUUGAAUAUGUGUCGUACUCUUUAGGGAGUUCGGCCUCCGUCCAUUCUACGACGAAGUCGGCCAAGACUUGUGACUUGAUGGCUCGCCGAGGCUUAUUAGUUAUGUCAAACGGGAGGAGCUCAAUGGCUCAUUUCGCAAUCCGGCCCGUUGCGUCACGGUUGUUUAUAAUAUCGUUGAGUGGUACUUCCGAGGCUACUGUUAUUGAACACUCUUGAAAGUAGUGUCGUAGCUUCCGGGAUGCCAGGAAUACCGCGUACGCGAUCUUUUGAUAAUGCGGGUAUCGUGAUUUGCAAGGAGUGAGGACAGUGGACACAUAAUAGACCGGCUUUUGAAGGGGGGAUUUGUGUCCGUCCGCUUCUCGUUCGACGACGAGCACUGCGCUUACAACUUGAUGUGUUGCUGCAAUGUAUAAUAGCAUUGGUUCGCCAAUAUUUGGCGCGACCAGGACUGGGUUUGUUGCAAGUAUGGAUUUUAUCUCCUCGAGUCCGGCCGUGGCUGCAUCCGUCCAUUCGAAGUGUUCGGUGCGUCGAAGGAGGCGGUAAAGGGGUAGGGCCUUUUCUCCCAAGCGGGAGAUAAAGCGGCUUAGAGCCGCCACGCAUCCGGUUAACUUUUGUAUUUGUUUGAGGUCCUUUGGGAUAUCCAGUUGCGACAGAGCUCGGAUCUUGGCCGGGUUUGCUUCGAUUCCUCUACCGGAUACAAUGAAGCCCAAGAGCUUUCCGGCUGGAACGCCGAAAACGCAUUUUUCCGGGUUGAGCUUGAUGUCGUAUGUUUGGAGGUUAUCAAAUGUGAGCCUCAAGUCGUCUACUAGAGAUUCGACAUGUCUUGUUUUGACAACCACAUCAUCUACAUAUGCCUCCACUGUUUUGCCGAUCUGGCUUGCCAGAUGUCUGAAUCAUGCGCUGAUAUGUUGCGCCGGCGUUUUUGAGCCCGAAGGGCAUUGUGUUGAAGCAGAAUGGGCCGUAUGGUGUGAUAAAUGCCGUUGCGGAUUGGUCAGAUUCUGCCAUCUUGAUUUGAUGGUAGCCGGAAUAUGCGUCGAGGAAACACAAUGAAUCGUGUCCUGCGGUAGCGUCGAUAAUUUGAUCGAUGCGGGGGAGGGGGAAGGGAUCCUUUGGGCAAGCCUUGUUAAGGUCUUUAAAAUCAACGCACAGGCGCCAGGAUUUGUCCUUCUUUGGUACCAUCACCAGGUUUGCUAGCCAGUCCGGAUGUUUUAUAUCUCUGAUGAAUCCAGCCUCCAAUAGCUUUGCUAGCUCCUCUCCCAUAGCCUGUCUCUUAGGUUCGGAAAAAUGCCGAAGAGCCUGUUUGACAGGUUUGAAUCCCGUUUCGAUAUUUAAGCUGUGCUCGGCCAGCCUGCGUGGGAUUCCUGGCAUGUCUGAAGGGUGCCAGGCGAAAAUGUCCUAGUUUUCUCGUAGGAACUCUCGCAGUGCGGCAUCUACAUCAGGGUUUAACUGUGCCCCGAUGGAAGCUAUUUUAUUUGGGUCCGUUGGAUGGACUUGGAAUUUGACCAUUUUGUCCGCCGGUUUAAAGGAGGUGGACUUGGAUCUUUUGUCAAGUACCACAUCGUCCCUAUUCACCAUAGAGCGCAGCGCAGUCAGUUCCUCAGCCGCUAAGGCUUCGGAUAGUGCCUCGAGGGCCAGUACGGCUGUCUUGUUUUCGGCGCGGAGUGCUAUGUCCGGAUCACUAGCGAGAGUGAUGAUCCCGUUGGGCCCAGGCAUUUUGAGCUUCAUGUACCCGUAACUGGGUAUUGCUUGGAAGAUUGUAAACGCUUCCCGCCCUAGCAGAGCGUGAUAACCGCUGAUGAACGGAGCCACAUGGAACGUGAUCUCUUCGGACCUGUAAUUAUCCGGCGUGCCGAACACCACAUCUAGUGUGAUUUUUCCUGUGCAGCGCGCUUCCCGACUGGGGAUUAUUCCUCUAAAGGUUGUGCUGCUUCGCUCAAUGCAGUUCCAGUCUAUUUCCAUUUUUUGAAGGGUUUCCUCGUAAAUGAGGUUCAAUCCACUGCUGCCGUCCACGAGUACCUUGGUAAGACGAAAGCCGUCCACUAUUGGGCUGAGGACCAAUGCGGCUGGUGCUCGGGCUGUUCGGAAUUUAGGUUCAUCACUAGCGUUAAAGGUAAUAGCCGUGUCACUCCAUGGGUUUAUUGUUGCUACUUGGUAGACUUCGGCAAGGCUGUGUAGUGUCCUUUUUCGCAUAUUAUUUGAUGCGAAAGUCUCGAAGGCUGUUAAUACCGUAUGGGUGUCUUUGGGGUGGCUUUCUAUGGCCUCCGGAAUUAGGAGGUUUUCGCCAAUUUUGGCCACCUGCCGGAGUAUCCAACAUGCUCUAAGGCUAUGAGUUGGUGUGGCGUCCUCUGUGCUGUGAAUUUUACAGGGUCCGUUAAGCCAUCCUUCCAGUACGGUUCCAUGCCCUAUAGAGGGUUUUUGCUUUUUGGUAUUUGACCUGGGUGUAUGGUUAUGCUGCACCCUUUUAUUUCGGACUGGGUUUGUAUUUAGGGCCGGAUUGUCCCAAAACUUUAUUUUGGUUUUCCAGGCGCUUUCCGUCGCACAAUACUUUUGUACAAUGGACGCCAAGUCAGCGAAGCGUGUGAUAUCACGGCGACUUAUGGCGUUGAGUAUUCCCUCGUCCGUGCAAUUAUUGCAGAAGAUUAAGAUUGCGUCUUCCUCGCUGCAAUCCCUUAGCAUGUUCUUAACCAGGAGGAAUCUAGCCCAGUAAUGAUGUACUAUUUCGUCGGGCUCUUGCCUGAUUUUGGAUAGAUCGCUUAUGUUGGGGUGGGUGGGCGGAGUUAAAUCCGAAGCCUCACCCCGUCUGAGGCUCAGAGGCCGAGGAAUUUCUGAACUCGAAAAUUUGGAUCCCUGGGUGUUGUCCAAUGAAUCCAGCCCAUCGCCUGACUCUAAGUUCAGGUCUUGAGUGAUAUCCUCCCCUCCGCGGGUAUCCGGCUUGGAGGGAUCGGGAAUCCGGACGUAGCGAGUCCUUAAGAUAGACGAAGGGUCUCCGCGCUGUUCCUCUACCACGGCAACGUGAUGGGUGACUUGGGGAGAGUUAAUCUCUCUCAGAUCGGUUUUAGGCCCAAUCUGGUCGUAAUCCGUAGCGACUCCCAAGGCGGCGAAGCGAUCCAAGAGCUCGUUUAUGGAGGAAAGCUCCAUUGGAUCUAACUGCUCGGCGAGUUCUGAACUGACAUGAAGAUUGUUUUCGAUGGCUCGAGAGGUCAUCAUUGGCGCAGAAGCCGAACAGGCAGUCAUAAGAAAACCACCUAGCCGGAGGGUUUGGCCGACAGCCAAAGCUCCCUUAGCAACGGUGCCGUCUUUAAAGACGGGGUGAGGCAUCCUUCCUGAUGGCGACGACACAGAGGAACUCUCAAUGAAAGCACCAAUGUCGGUGUCAAAACCGGCGGAUCUCGGGUAGGGGGUCCCGAACUGUGCGUCUAGGCCGGAUGGUAACAGGAGGCAAGGGACACGAAGUUUUACCCAGGUUCGGGCCCUCUCGAUGGAGGUAAAACCCUAUGUCCUGCUUGAUUAAUAUUGAUGAUAUGGGUAGUACAAGAGUAGAUCUACCACGAGAUCAGAGAGGCUAAACCCUAGAAGCUAGCCUAUGGUAUGAUUGUUGAUGUAUAUGUUGUCAUACGGACUAAAACCCUCCGGUUUAUAUAGACACCGGAUAGGGUUAGGGUUACAUAGAGUCGGUUACAAUGCUAGGAGAUCUGAAUAUCCGUAUCGCCAAGCCUGCCUUCCACGCCAAGGAAAGUCCCUUCCGGACACGGGACGGAGUCUUCAAUCUUGUAUCUUCAUAAUCCAGGAGUCCAGCUGAAGGUAUAGUUCGGCUAUCCGAAUACCCCCUAAUCCAGGUCUCCCUCAGCUGAUCUGGAGUCCGUUCGGGGCUCCGGAGAGGGGAAUCCGUCGCCAUUGUCCUCAUCAACCAUCCUCCAUCACCAAUUUCAUGAUGCUCACCGCCGUGCGUGAGUAAUUCCAUCGUAGGCUUGCUGGACGGUGAUGGGUUGGAUGAGAUCUAUCAUGUAAUCGAGUUAGUUUUGUUAGGGUUUGAUUCCUAGUGUCCACUAUGUUUUGAGAAUGAUGUUGCUAUGACUUUGCUAUGCUUAAUGCUUGUCACUAGGGCCCGAGUGCCAUGAUUUCAGAUCUGAACCUAUUAUGUUUUCAUCAAUAUAUGAGAGUUCUUGAUCCUAUCUUGCAAGUCCAUAGUCACCUAUUAUGUGUUAUGAUCCGUUAACCCCGAAGUGACAAUAAUCGGGAUACUUACCGGUGAUGACCGUAGUUUGAGGAGUUCAUGUAUUCACUAUGUGUUAAUGCUUUGUUCCGGUUCUCUAUUAAAAGGAGGCCUUAAUAUCCCUUAGUUUCCAUAAGGACCCUGCUGCCACGGGAGGGUAGGACAAAAGAUGUCAUGCAAGUUCUUUUCCAUAAGCAUGUAUGACUAUAUUCGGAAUACAUGCCUACAUUAUAUCAAUGAACUGGAGCUAGUUCUGUGUCACCCUAGGUUACGAUUGUUACAUGAUGAACCGCAUCCAGCAUAAUUCUCCAUCAGCGAUCCAUUGCCUAUGAGCUUUCCAUAUAUUGUUCUUUGCUUAUUUACUUUUCCGUUGAUACUGCUAUCAUCACUACAAAAUACCAAAAACAUUACUUUUACUACUAUUACCUUUUGCUACUGUUACCACUACUAUCAUAUUACCUUGCUACUAAACACUUUGUUGCAGAUAUUAAGUUUUCAGGUGUGGUUGAAUUGACAACUCAGCUGCUAAUACUUGAGAAUAUUCUUUGGCUCCCCUUGUGUCGAAUCAAUAAAUUUGGGUUGAAUACUCUACCCUCGAAAACUGUUAUGAUCCCCUAUACUUUUGGGUUAUCAAUUCGACACAAGGAGAGCCAAAGAAUAUUCUCAAGUAUUAGCAGCUGAGUUGUCAAUUCAACCACACUUGGAAACUUAAUAUCUGCAGCAAAGUGUUUAGUAGCAAAGUAAUAUGAUAGUAGUGGUAAUGGUAGCAAUAGGUAAUGAUAGCAAAAGUAAUGUUUUUGGUAUUUUGUAGUGAUGAUAGCAAUAGCAACGGGAAAGUAAAUAAGCGAAGAACAAUAUAUGGAAAGCUCAUAGGCAAUGGAUCAGUGAUGGAGAAUUAUGCCGGAUGCGGUUCAUCAUGUAACAGUCAUAACCUAGGGUGACACAGAACUAGCUCCAGUUCAUCAAUGUAAUGUAGGCAUGUAUUCUGAAUAUAGUCAUGCGUGCUUAUGGAAAAGAACUUGCAUGACAUCUUUUGUCCUACCCUCCCGUGGCAGCGGGGUCCUUACGGAAACUAAGGGAUAUUAAGGCCUCCUUUUAAUAGAGUACCGGAACAAAGCAUUAACACAUAGUGAAUACAUGAACUCCUUAAACUAUGGUCAUCACUGGUAAGUAUCCCGAUUAUUGUCACUUCGGGGUUAACGGAUCAUAACACAUAAUAGGUGACUAUAGACUUGCAAGAUAGGAUCAAGAACUCUCAUAUAUUGAUGAAAACAUAAUAGGUUCAGAUCUGAAAUCAUGGCACUCGGGCCCUAGUGACAAGCAUUAAGCAUAGCAAAGUCAUAGCAACAUCAAUCUCAGAACAUAGUGGAUACUACGGAUCAAACCCUAACAAAACUAACUCGCUUACAUGAUAAAUCUCAUCCAACCCAUCACCAUCCAGCAAGCCUACGAUGGAAUUACUCACGCACGGCGGUGAGCAUCAUGAAAUUGGUGAUGGAGGAUGGUUGAUGAUGACGAUGGCCAUGGAUUCCCCUCUCCGGAGCCCCGAACGGACUCCAGAUCAGCCCUCCCGCGAGGUUUUAGGACUUGGCGCUGGCUCCGUAUCUUAAAACACGAUGAUUUCUUCUCUCUGAUUUUUUUUCUCCCCGAAACACAAUAUAUAGAGUUGGAGGUGGAGUCAGAGAGGCACCAGGGGGCCCAUGAGGUAGGGGGCGCGCCCUAGGAGGGCAGGCACGCCCUCCACCCUCGUGGACAGGUUGUGGGCCCCCUGGCCUUCAUCUUUUGCAGGUAUUUUUUAUAUUUUCCAAAAAGUGGCUCCGUGAAGUUUCAGGUCAUUCCGAGAACGUUUGUUUCUGCACAUAAACAACACCAUGGUAAUUCUGCUGAAAACAGCGUCAGUCCGUGUUAGUUCCAUUCAAAUCAUGCAAGUUAGAUUCCAAAACAAGGGCAAAAGUCUUUGGAAAAGUAGAUACGACGGAGACGUAUCAAUGAUCAUCACACUUCUAUUUAUUUACAACUCAAUGAUUACAACUCGAUACUAGAACAAGGUAUGACUCUAUAUGAAUGCCUCUGGCGGUGUACCGGGAAUGCAAUGAAUCAAGUGUGACAUGUAUGAAAAAUUAUGAUCGGUGGCUUUGCCACGAAUACGAUGUCAACUACAUGAUCAUGCAAAGCAAUAUGAUAAUGAUGAACGUGUCAUGAUAAAUAGGAUGGUGGAAAGUUGCAUGGCAAUAUAUCUCGGAAUGGCUAUGGAAAUUCCAUAAUAUGUAGGUAUGGUGGCUGUUUUGAGGAAGAUAUCAGGAGGUUUAUGUGUGAAAGAACGAAUCAUAUCACAGGGUUUGGAUGCACCGGCGAAGUUUGCACCAACUCUCAAUGUGAGAAAGGGUAAUGCACGGUACCGAAGAGGCUAGCAAUGAUGGAAGGGUGAGAGUGCGUAUAAUCCAUGGACUCAACAUUCUCACAUACUUAUUGCAAAAAUCUACAAGUCAUCAAAAACCAAGCACUACGCGCAUGCGCCUAGGGGGAUAGAUUGGUAGGAAAAUACCAUCGCUCGUCCCCGACCGCCACUCAUAAGGAAGACAAUCAAAGAACACCUCAUGUUUCAAAUUUUUUACAUAACGUUUACCAUACGUGCAUGCUACGGGACUUGCAAACUUCAACACAAGUAUUUCUCAAUUUCACAACUACUCAACUAGCACAACUUUAAUAUCACUACCUCCAUAUCUCAAAACAAUCAUCAAGCAUCAAACUUCUCUUAGUAUUCAAAACACUCAUAAGAGAAUUUUAUUAUUAAUCUUGUAUGCCUAGCAUAUUAGGAUUAUUUAAUAAAAUUACCAUUAUAUUUAAGACUCUCAAAAUAAUCUAAGUGAAGCAUGAGAGAUCAAUAGUUUCUAUAAAACAAAUCCACCACCGAGCUCUAAAAGAUAUAAGUGAAGUACUAGAGCAAAACUAUAUAACACAAAAGAUAUAAGUGAAGCACAUAGAGUAUUCUAAUAAUUUCCGAAUCAUGUGUGUCUCUCUCAAAAGGUGUGUACAGCAAAGAUUAUUGUGGUAAACUAAAAAGCAAAUACUCAAAUCAUACAAGACGCUCCAAGCAAAACACAUAUCAUGUGGUGAAUAAAAAUAUAGCUCCAAGUAAAGUUACCGAUAGAAGUAGACGAAAGAGGGGAUGCCUUCCGGGGCAUCCCCAAUGUUUGGAUUUUAGGUGUCCUUAGAUUAUCUUGGGGGUGCCAUGGGCAUCCCCAAGCUUAGGCUCUUUUCACUCCUUGUUCCAUAAUCCAUCAAAUCUUUACCCAAAACUUGAAAACUUCACAACACAAAACUUAAAGUAGAAAAUCUCAUGAGCUCCGUUAGCGAAAGAAAACAAAAUACCACUUCAAGGUACUGUAAUGAACUCAUUAUUUACUUAUAUUGGUGUUAAACCUACUGUAUUCCAACUUCUCUAUGGUUUAUAAACUAUUUUACUAGCCAUAGAUUCAUCAAAAUAAGCAAACAACACACGAAAAACAGAAUCUGUCAAAAACAGAAUAGUCUGUAGUAAUCUGUAGCUAUCUCAAGAUCUGGAACCCCAAAAAUUCUAAAAUAAAUUGCUGGACGAGAGUAAUUUAUCUAUUAAUCAUCUGCAAAAUGAAUUAAGUAAAUAGCACUUUCCAAAUAAAUUGGCAGCAGUUCUCGUGAGCGCUAAAGUUUCUGUUUUUUACAGCAAGAUUAACAAGACUUUCCCCAAGUCUUCCCAACGGUUCAACUUGGCACAAACACUAAUUAAACAUAAAAAACACAACCAAAACAGAGGCUAGGCAAAUUAUUUAUUACUAAACAGGAGCAAAAAGCAAGUAAUAAAAAUAAAAUUGGGUUGCCUCCCAACAAGCGCUAUCGUUUAACACCCCUAGCUAGGCAUAAAAAGCAAGGGUAGAUCUAGGUAUUGCCAUCUUUGGUAGGCAAUUCUUCAAUGAUGCAUCUACCAUCCUUAGGAAUUUCUUUCUUUUUAUUUAUUAUCAAACUUUUAGGCACAAUAUCAAAAAAAUCAUCAGCAGCAAAUGAUUCCUUAAUGAUAGCAAAAAGAUUAGGGUGAACACUUAUAGAUUUGAGAUCCGUAGUUUCUUUGCUAGAGGAUUCACCUUUAUUUUUAGGAACAUACAUAAGCUUGGCAAUUUUAGUUGGAGGACUUGGAGUAGUCUUUACGGAAGAAAAAGUGGUUCCCAAGUUGGUAAUGAUACCCUCAAGUUUAUCGAUUCUAGUAGAAUCAUGAUUUAUUCUUUCAUUAACUAUAGGUUCCUUCUCUUUAAUAUUUUUCAAAGUUACUCCUACUUUAGAUCCAUAUUGGGUAAUUUGGUUGUGGAUCUUUUUAUCCAAAUUUUCAAUUAACUCUACAGUAGCAACCUUAUUCUCAAUAAUUUCAAGUCUUUGCAUUACAUACUCCAAAGUUAACAUAGUUCCAUUAACCAAAAGAGGUGGUGAGCCAUGCAAAUCUAUCAUAGCAUUAUAAGAAUCAAAAGUAUGGCUACCCAAGAAGUUCCCUCCCGUACUGGUAUCAAGGAUAUAUUUGUGCCAAGGAGUAACGCCUACAUAAAAAUUGCGAAGAAGAAUGGAAGUAGAUUGCUUCCUGGUAGAUCUAUUUUGAGCAUUGCAAAUUCUAUACCAAGCGUCUUUUAGAUUUUCUCCCUCCCUUUGCUUAAAAUUUAGAACUUCAUUCUUGGGAGACAACGGAGAAGAUAGAGGAUUAGCCAUAACGACCAGCAAACGGAAAAGAGGCGAACGGGAAAGAGAUGGGGGAUAGAGAGAGAGAGAGGGCGAAUAAAACGGCAAGGGUGAAGUGGGGGAGAGGAAAACGAGAGGCAAAUGGCAAAUAAUGUAAUGCGGGAGAUAAGGGUUUGUGAUGGGUACUUGUAUGUUUGACUUUUGCAUAGACCUCCCGGGCAACGGCACCAGAAAUCCUUCUUGCUACCUCUUGAGCACUUGCGUUGGUUUUCCCUUGAAGAGGAAAGGGUGGUGCAGCAAAGUAGAGUAAGUAUUUCCCUCAGUUUUUGAGAACCAACGUAUCAAUCCAAUAGGAGGCUACGCGUGAGUCCCUCGCACCUGCACAAAACAAAUAAAACAUCGCAAGCAACGCGAUAAGGGGUUGUCAAUCCCUACAUGGUCACUUACGAGAGUGAGAUCUGAUAGAUAUGAUAAGAUAAUAUUUUUGGUAUUUUUAUGAUAAAGAUGCAAAGUAAAAUAAAAUCAAUGAAAAUAACUAAGUAUUGGAAGAUUAAUAUGAUGAAGAUAGACCCGGGGGCCAUAGGUUUCACUAGUGUCUUAUCUCAAGAGCAUGAGUAUUUUACGGUGGGUGCACAAAUUAUUGUUGAGCAAUUGACAGAAUUGAGCAUAGUUAUGAGAAUAUCUAGGUAUGGUCAUGUAUAUAGGCAUCAUGUCCAAGACAAGUAGACCGACUCCUGCUUGCAUCUACUACUAUUACUCCACACAUCGACCGCUAUCCAGCAUGCAUCUAGAGUAUUAAGUUCAUAAGAACAGAGUAACGCCUUAAGCAAGAUGACAUGAUGUAGAGGGAUAAACUCAUGCAAUAUGAUGAAAACUCCAUCUUGUUAUCCUCGAUGGCAACAAUACAGUACGUGCCUUGCUGCCCCUACUGUCACUGGGAAAGGACACCGCAAGAUUGAACCCAAAGCUAAGCACUUCUCCCAUUGCAAGAAAGAUCAAUCUAGUAGGCCAAACCAAACUGAUAAUUCAAAGAGACUUGCAAAGAUAACCAAUCAUACAUAAAAGAAUUCAGAGAAGAUUCAAAUAUUGUUCAUAGAUAAACUUGAUCAUAAACCCACAAUUCAUCGGUCUCAACAAACACACCGCAAAAAGAAGAUUACAUCGAAUAGAUCUCCACAAGAGAGGGGGAGAACUUUGUAUUGAGAUCCAAAAAGAGAGAAGAAGCCAUCUAGCCAAUAACUAUGGACCCGUAGGUCUGAGGUAAACUACUCACACUUCAUCGGAGAGGCUAUGGUGUUGAUGUAGAAGCCCUCCGUGAUCGAUGCCCCCUCCGACAGAGCUCCGGAACAGGCCCCAAGAUGGGAUCCCGUGGAUACAGAAAGUUGCGGCGGUGGAAUUAGGGUUUUGGCUCCUGUUCUGAUCGUUUGGGGGUACGUAGGUAUAUAUAGGAGGAAGAAGUGCGUCGGUGGAGCAACAGGGGGCCCACGAGGGUGGAGGGCGCGCCUGGGGGGGUAGGCACGGCCCCCUACCUCGUGGCCUCCCUGUUGGUUGCUUGACGUAGGGUCCAAGUCUCCUGGAUCAUGUUCGGUGAGAAAAUCACGUUCCCGAAGGUUUCAUUCCAUUUGGACUCCGUUUGAUAUUCCUUUUCUUCGAAACCCUAAAAUAGGCAAAAAAAUAGCAAUUCUGGGUCGGGCCUCUGGUUAAUAGGUUAGUCCCAAAAAUAAUAUAAAAGUGGAAAAUAAAGCCCAAUAAUGUCCAAAACAGUAGAUAAUAUAGCAUGGAGCAAUCAAAAAUUAUAGAUACGUUGGAGACGUAUCACACCCCAGUGCUCAUCCUCUUCUCCAAAAGCUGGGUCAAUUGACUCUUUGCACUUAUUGCCAUGGUUACCAAGUCUGCCACAUCUAGGGAAUUUCUUUCUCCUGCCCCCAAGUCUUUUUCCUUCUGACUUUGCCCUAAUCCUGGUCUUUCUAGGUCUACCAGGUGGCCUGUUUUGAACUGGAGCACACAAUUUGAACCCAGGAUCAACUACAUCCCACUGUUGCUUCCCCUCCAUUGCAGGCAAGUUGUCAGCAUAUGUUGCAUUGAACAUUUGUACUGAGUAAUAUGGGUGCACAUACUAGUCAAUCUCACUGGCUAGACCUCUCAUUGAUGUAAUGAAGUAUAGUGCAUGUAUGCAAGGUUGGCCUGUAAUUUGCCACUUUCUACAGCUACAAGUCCUAGCUUCCAAGUCUACAGGAUAUCUCCACUCCCUCUUUUCUCUGUCAACUGCAGUGACCUCUGCCUCAUGUGUACUUCUUUUCACUACAGUCAUGUCCAACCCCUUUGAUUUUGCAAGCAACAUUUUCAUAACUUUUGGAAUUAUUACAUGACCAACAUAUGUUGCUGCAGCAAUGCUUUGCCUAAUGUCAAAUUUCUCCAUUAUGUAUUGUCUUAUUCUGCCAAGCAGAUCAACAAUGUGUAGCCCUUUCCACUUUCUAAUCUUUGAAUUAAAAGACUCUACAAGAUUAUUGUUAACAUAAUCUAGCUUGCAAGUUUCAUUGAAAAGAUCCCUUGCCCAUAACUUAGUGUGGUGCUCCUCUAUGUACUCUUGCACACCUUGCUUGCUAUACAACUAAGUGAGAUGGUACUUGUGCUUUUUCAAGCUGUAGGUCAAAGAACAGGGCCACAAGUUUUCAUCAAAGAAUUUUCCUCUAAACUUUUUACUAAAAUUAGUUGCAAGAUGCCUCAUGCAUUCCCUGUGCUCUACACCUGGGAACACAUCUUUUACAGCUGACUCAAGUCCCUUGCAGGCAUCAGUGUGAAUAACCAAUCCCUUUGGAUGGCCUAUUAGGUCUUUCAUGUUCUGGAAAAACCAAGUCCAACUCUCAAUGUUCUUUGUCUCUAGCACUCCAUAUGCAACUGGAAAGAUCCAGUUGCAUGCAUCUACAACACAAGCACUAAUAAGCUAUCCUCUAAACCUUCCAUUUAGUGAUUUUGCAUCUACUGCUAGAUAUGGUCUACAGCCAACUAGAAAACCUUGCCAAGAGGCCUUAAAUGAUACAAAAACUCUCCUAAAGCACUCUUUAUACCUUUUCUGUCCAUUGAGUUUAAACUCUACAGUGUGUCUAUCAAUAUUAACCACACUACCAUGAGAUGCCUUUUCUACUUCAGCUUUGAAAGUAUACAAGAGUUGGAAUGAAUCAGUCCAUUUACCAUAGAUGUUAUCCAGUGCCAUUUGCUUACCAUAAAAAACUCUCAUGUAAGGUAGCUGCACCCCAUACUUCUUUUUCAAGUCUGUCUGCAGAGUUGGCACUAAAAUAUUUGAGUUCUCCCUCACCCAGUUCUUCACAGCAUCUGCCACCCACCUACUCUUUGCAGACCCGAGCCUUUGCCUCCUUGUAACACUUGGGCAUAUGUGAGCUGUCUUGUUCACUUUGACCUGCAGCAAGUAAUAGUCAGCAAAAGUCCAUACAAUUAUGAAUGCACAAUUAUUACUAAUAAAAGUUAUUAUUUACACAAACUAUAUUAGUCCUAUAGUGUAUUGCCUAAAAAAGUGUGCUAUUUCUCAUUCUGGAGGCAUGCAUCCUCCACUUACACCUUUUGUAAGCACAGUGAACAGUUAGUCUACUGGGCUCACUCUUGUCAAUUAUAAAUUCACUCUGGGUCUUGAUUGAAAAGGUGGCAAGUGCAUUCCUACAAUCUAUGACAUCUGAAAAUAUAGUUCCUUCAGCUAAAGAAGGAUCAUCUCUAUUAUACUACACAUCAGGCCUACCCUCAUCCUCUGUCUCAGAAUAUCCCAUGUCCCUGUCCUCCUCUCUUUCAUCAGAGUCUGUCUCCUCAAAUUGUGGGGGUGGAAUGUAAUCUUCACCAUCAUCCUCAUUGGGUGGUUUCCUAACAACAAACUCUGGGUGCAUUCUUUCAUCCUCAUCGUCUGUGGGCACUUCAUCGGGAAAUUCCUCUUCUAUGAUUGGAUCUGUUGUUGCUUUGCUAUACUCGGGACAUGGUUGACUAGGCAAGUUGGCACUUGGGGUUCCUGGUUGUUGUACUGUGCUGUGAGUUCCAAUUCCUCUUCUAGCCUGACUGCUAUCAGGCUCUGAAGUUGCAGCUGCUGAUUUCCUUCCUCUAGAUUCACACCUUUGAGACUGUGAACUAGUAACUGCUGCUUUCCUUCUACUAGCUACUGCUUUACUUAUACUAGCUUGAUUGCUUCUAGGAUGUGAAGGAUUGGGUGCAGAUCUUGCUACUCUGCUCUCGGUUUCCCCUCUUUUCCUUUGUAUGACAUUAAUUUCCAGCUGCACUGAAUUGCUCUCAGCAUUUGUGGCAAACAUAACCCUUAACUCAUCAUCAUUUUGAACUGGCACCCAUACAGUAUUCUGCAUGUCCCAAUAUCUAAAUUAUACAGCAUCAAAAAUACACCAUGGAUGUUUAUCACUUAUAUCACCUCUAAAUUGGACAAAUGUUGAUGUUUUGUCCACCACAAAAGUAAAUGUGAAGCCUGUACUGGCUCCUUUUGUGCCACCAUUGCCUAUGAUAGUGGUCUCCAUUCUACAGUUGAGACGAAAAGCUCUCUCUGGUUUCAUCCUAUGAUAAUUGCAAUAUAAAUGACAUUGCAAGCAUGUGGUAACCACUAAGAGCGCAUUCAAUCAAGGUAAAUCUAUGUACAGUAACAGAACACAGAUACAGGUCAAGAUUCAAAGAAACUUGGGGCAAGAAACUUACCCUGCUGGAAUUUGCAUUCCUGUCGUCUGCGUCGUCUGCCUGGAUGCUUCUUUGGCACCACCACAAUCAGCGGCAGCCGCCAUCGUCGACACCGCCUCCUUUGGCGUCGUAGCAGAGGGAAAUAGAUGGUGGAUAAUCACCUCCACUCCCACCGCAUCCCGACGCCCGCAGUCCUACAGAUCCGCCACGGCUACUGGACCGUCGGUGAGGGAUUUAGGGUGACCUAGGUUUAGGGUUUCGGUCGCCAAGAGGGGAACGAGAGAAGAGGUGUGUCGCGAGGGAGAAGAGAGUGAGCGAGUGGACAACGUUUUUAUACGGGCCCACAUGUAAGAACCAGGGGCCAAAAUGUCCAACAGACGCCCAGUUACCGGUCAAAGACCAUUGACCCGACAGAAAUGGCCCGGAGGGGGAUUUCUGUAAGGGCCACAGACGGAAGAGGGGUAUUUUUAGCAUACCUGAAAACUAGGGGCAAAUCCCAGGUGGUGGCUCAAGUUAAGGGGAGAAGUGUAAUUGUCCCUAAAAGAAACUAUGUUAAAACUACUUUAUGUGAUCUUGGAGCCGGUGUUAGUGUUAUGCCUCUCUCUUUAUAUCGUAGACUCGAUCUGAAUAAGUUGACACCUACUGAAAUAUCUUUGCAAAUGGUUGAUAAUUCAACUUCUAUACCUGCCAGUAUUUGUGAGGAUGUGCCUGUUGUGGUUGCAAACAUUACUAUUUUAAUGGACUUUGUUAUUCUUGAUAUUCCGAGGACGACAGUAUGUCUAUUAUUCUUGGAAGGCCCUUUUUGAAUACUGCAGGGACUGUUAUUGAUUGCACCAAAGGCAAUGUCACUUUUCAUGUUAAUGGUAAUGAGCAUAUGGUACACUUUCCGAGGAAACAACCUCAAGUCCAUAGUAUCAAUUCUAUUGGAAAAAAUUCAACAAUUACGAUUGGAGGUUUUGAAUUUCCUCUUCCUACUGUCGAGAAGAAAUAUGAUAUUCUUAUUGUUGGGGAUGUGCAUUUCCCCAUUGAGGUAACCUAGUGUUAUUCGAAAAUUCUCCGGUUCCAUGUUAUUCGGAAUGAGUUUGUUAACAAGACCUGAUCAACCUUGUUAGUGGAUUCCUUUUGAUGAGCAUGAGAUGGAUGAAUUUAGAAAAAACAACUCUCUGUACCCUCUUUUUACUUUCUGUUAUUUAUAUUAAAUAAAGCAAAAAUAGUAUAUUAUGUCUGUUUUCUGAAUUAUCCAUGCAAUAAAAAAAUACCCUGAAAAUAAAAGUUCUCCAAAUGCCCUGAAAUUUAAAUAUGAUUUUUUCUGGAAUAUUUGAGAAUAUCUGGCACUGAGAACACAGCAGGGGGAGCAAGCACCUGGCCACGAGGGUCCAUGGUGCGCCCUCCCCCCUGGGCGCGCCCCCUGCCUCAUGGGCCCAUGGUGGCUCCCCUCCACUUAUUCCAGCUACCACACACUCCUCCUUCCUCCCAAAAAAAUCACUAACCAGCUCAAGCAUGAGCUCUAGCUCAUCUUGCUGCCAUUUUUGAUCUCCUUGCUCAAAGCUCCAUUCACAAAACUGAUUUGGGGGUUGUUCUUUGAGGAAGAAAUAUGUUCAGGAAAAUGUACCAAAGUGAUUCUUCAAGGAAUCAAGGACCCAGACUCACAAUACGCGAUGCGGACGAGGAACCGCCAAGGGAUGCUCAAGUGCGGCCCUGUGAAUGGCCGUCAGAGGACUUCAUGGUUAGAGCAGGAAUCAAGGAGGAAUUUGAAGCUUAUGUGUGUAAUGCUGAUCUUGAGAGCUUCAAGGCACAUAAAUGCCGUUAAUACCUCUAUCUAACUGAUUCAUUUGUGAGAAGGUUUAAAUUUUCAUCAUCACGCAAUUCUCAAACCAUCCUGUUUGAUCUUUAUGAUAAAUCUUAUACCAUGGACUUAGAAGAUUUUAACACUGCUUGUAAAAUCCCACAGUGGGUGAUGUUAGUGAACCUUGCAAGUCUGAAUUUACAGAUUUUCUUGCUAGUAUAACUGUGGGGGAAUCUAGGGAUGUGACACAAGCUACCAUAGGGAGCAUUCAUUUUCCUGCUAUACAUUAUUUUGCUCUCUUCAUAGGUAGAUGCAUUAAUGGUAAAGAUGAAGCAUGUCACAUGUGUGUGCCUGAUCUUAGCAUUCUCAGAAGAACUGUUUUAGGAGAUAAACAAUACAACUUGGGGGCUAUCGUUGCGCGUAGGUUGCAUAAUAAUCGUAUUCAUGGAGAUUUCUUUGGUGGAAUUUAUGCAACCCAUAUAGCUAACUUUCUUGAGAUACCCAUACGUGGACAUGAUAUUGAGUUGCCUCCUUCUUACCUAGAUUAUGAUGCUAUGGUUCGUCAUCAGUUUGUUGAGAGGAACGAUCAGUUCCUCCAGUACCGACUAAUCUUUGACAGACGAUGCACCUAUCACGUCGCUCUCCCUGCUCCUACUUUCUUUAACUUUCAGGCAGAAGGGAGAUAUGUUAUAACCAGGGAGGAGGUGAACGAGUACGAGAGGAGGGCGGAGACAGCUCGCCUCCCAGCUACAGCUCAUCAGGCAAUUGCCGCUGCAUCUCAGUACGACCCCAACUAAAACUUUGGAUAUCCACCAGGCCAGCCGUGGCCAUAGACCAACUUAGGCCAAAAGCCUAAGCUUGGGGGAGUAUGUAUUUCUCACCGACAGUACAUUCCUGUUCACACACUCAUGCUAGUUGUCGGUGCUCAUACUUUUUCAUUGUAAUAUCCAUGCUAGUUUAUUUUCCUUUUUAUGAUUUCUUCUUGUGUGUUUGAUAAAUCUUAAGAAAAACCAAAAAAUUAGUUGUAGCUUUUAGCUAGUUUACUUUCCAUGCCUGUAGUAGUAAUUAAAAAGAAAACCCAAAAAGAUUUCUCGUUCUUCUUUUUGCUUGUUGGUAGCUUUCCUGUGUAAAUAGUUUGAUGAGGACAUCAAUACCAUUGUUACACCCACAGCCCCUGCUGCUAUACAUACUAGACCAAUUACUAGAGCUCGUGCACGCCAAUUGAAUUAUCGGGUACUUUCGUUUCUUGUAACGAUUCUAAUGCUCAUGAGAAUAUGAUGCUGCCUAAAUUGGAUACAUUUGUUUUGCUUACAAAUGAAGGACCUAGCUUGGACAAGAAAGAUGAACCUUGGAGCAAGUUCAAGCAUGGAGAUGAUGGCAUGCGCAAGGGGAUCAAGAACGGAGUUACAAGUGAUGAUUUCAAGACUUUGAAGCCACCAUAAGGAGUGCAUGAAGCCUUGGACGAAAUAUACAAGAUGCCACUUCAUAAAUUUCGUCCAGAGGCUAUUCUAGGUGCUCCGUCACCUUAUUAUUGGGUCAGGCCCAUGUAUUUUCGAAACACUUAAGUAUAGGCUGUUUUUAGAGUCCAUAUCUGUGGGGAAACAAGAGUUAGGGUUGGUUUCGGACCCCUCCUCCAAGGUCCAUGAAAUUCCCCCCUCUCUCCUCCAUAUAUACAGCCCUUAGGGCAUCGUUUAGACUUUGGGUUUUGUUUAGAUUAAAAGUUCGCCAUAGCUGCAACUUCGCGUACUUCGUUUGUGUCCAACGACCAGACCAAGACGUCAUAGAACCCCACCUUGAUCAAUAAAGCUUUCAUAUUAUAUUCGCAAUAUCUAGAUUGCAAUCUCAGUUUCUUGCUUGUUCUUUAUUUGCUCGCAGGAAAUAGACCCUUGUGGUCAAGUUGAUCGUGCUCCGUCGUGGUCAAUAACCCUUGGAAGUUCGUUUAGUGAUUGCUAAGGCGCGACGUCUUCGCAUGUUCGUAGUCGGAUCGUCAAAGUCGACUCCCACAGAAAAUGAUAUCUAUCUCAUCAAAACAUCGGGACACCUUCGCCUCUAUCAAGUGGUAUCAGAGCUCCAGGUUGCUCGGUGAGAUUUUAUAGUUUUUCAUAGUUUAGAUCGAGUCUGUUCUUCAUACCUACAGUCCACGAAAAAGCCAAAAAAAUUAGGGUUAGGUCGUCAUAUCCGAACCAAUCUGAGCCUUUGCAUAAUCUUUUUAGGGUUUUGCAUUGUUGAAUUUGCGGUUGCAUCGUCGUGUCUAGUUGCUGGUCUUAGCAUCUAUUUUCCUUUAGAGUUUCGAGUUCUGUUCACAAGUUGUCACGCCGCCGCCGCACCAUCGUCAUCGUUCCUACCACAUACCACCACCAUCAACAUAUUCCAUACUGCUGCCAUAUACAUCCGCCUGUCCACCACCAAUCAGAGUCCACAUAUACAUCCUCCUGUCCAUCACCAAUCCGAGUCCACAUAUACAUCUGCCUGUCCACCACCAAUCCGAGUCCACAUAUACAUCUACCUGUCCACCACCAAUCCGAGUUCUUUUCAUAUUAGGUUUGUUUUCGAGAUCCAUCUAGUUUUCGUUUUGUGUUUCCUUGCCUGGGUAGGUCUCGAAAAAAAAAGAGUCUGGAGACCCCCGGGCAGUUUUUAGGCCAAAAUUUCGGCGACCAAAAAUAUUUUUCCCUAUCAUAUUUUUAGGCUUUUCUGAGUCUUUUGAGCCACGUCCAUCAUAGUGAUUUUUUGUCGCACUUUUUCGUCGUCGCUGCCCUGAUUUCCAAAAAAAAUCUAAAAUAAUCCGUGCCCAUCAUGUCAGUUUGACGAGGGAAGAGUUUUGAGACACUCGCCAUUAUAGUGAUUCUUCGCAAAAAAAAGAGGAGUGCAAAAAAAGGAGCGCCAAAAAAACAGAGCGAAAAGAAAAGUUCCAGAGUGUGCUUUUCCCUUGUUUACGUGCAGCGCCGUGUUUUUGUUAAUGUUCUAGGCUCGCGUCUCUAGCACGGUCUAGCCUAGGACCAGCACAGUACCGCGUUGAGCGUUUAUUCAACUUUACAUCUUUGAAUUGAUUAUUGCUGACCCUUUUUGCUACCAUAUUAUAAGCUUUCCCAGCUCCACAUACAUCUACGCCGUGCGUUUGAUUUUCCCUAGUAAUCGCUCUAUCCAAGCUUUGAGAGUUUUGACUACGACGGGUGCCGAUCACCGCCUGCUGCUGGGUAAGUGCUACCUCUUGAGCACUUGCGUUGGUUUUCCCUUGAAGAGGAAAGGGUGGUGCAGCAAAGUAGCGUAAGUAUUUCCCUCAGUUUUUGAGAACCAAGGUAUCAGUCCAGUAGGAGGCCACGCACGAGUCCCUCACACCUACACAAACAAAUAAAUCCUCGCAACCAACGCGAUAAGGGGUUAUCAAUCCCUACACAGUCACUUACGAGAGUGAGAUCUGAUAGAUAUGAUAAGAUAAUAUUUUUGGUAUUUUUAUGAUAAAGAUGCAAAGUAAAAUAAAAGGCAAUAAAAAUAACUAAGUAUUGGAAGAUUAAUACGAUGGAAGAUAGACCCGAGGGUCAUAGGUUUCACUAGUGGCUUCUCUUGAGAGCAUAAGUAUUCACGGUGGGUAAACAAAUUACUAUUGAGCAAUUGACAGAAUUGAGCAUAGUUAUGAGAAUAUCUAGGUAUGAUCAUGUAUAUAGGCAUCACGUCCGAGGCAAGUAGAACGACUCCUGCCUGCAUCUACUACUAUUACUCCACACAUCGACCGCUAUCCAGCAUGCAUCUAGAGUAUUAAGUUCAAGAGAACAGAGUAACGCUUUAAGCAAGAUGACAUGAUGUAGAGGGAUAAACUCAUGCAAUAUGAUAUAAACCCCAUCUUGUUAUCCUCGAUGGCAACAAUAAAAUACGUGCCUUGCUGCCCCUACUGUCACUGGGAAAGGACACUGCAAGAUUGAACCCAAAGCUAAGCACUUCUCCCAUUGCAAGAAAGAUCAAUCUAGUAGGCCAAACCAAACUGAUAAUUCGAAGAGACUUGCAAAGAUAACCAAUCAUACAUAAAAGAAUUCAGAGAAGAUUCAAAUAUUGUUCAUAGAUAAACUUGAUCAUAAAACCACAAUUUAGCGGUCUCAACAAACACACCGCAAAAAAGAUUACAUCGAAUAGAUCUCCACAAGAGAGGUGGAGAAGUUUGUAUUGAGAUCCAAAAAGAGAGAAGAAGCCAUCUAGCUAAUAACUAUGCACCCGUAGGUCUGAGGUAAACUACUCACACUUCAUUGGAGAGGCUAUGGUGUUGAUGUAGAAGCCCUCCGUGAUCGAUGCCCCCUCCGGUGGAGCUCCGGAACAGGCCGCAAGAUGGGAUCUCAUGGAUACAGAAAGUUACGGUGGUGGAAUUAGGGUUUUGGCUCCGUAUCUGGUAGUUUGGGGGUACGUAGGUAUAUAUAGGAGGAAGGAGUACGUCAGUGGAGCAACAGGGGGGCACGAGGGUGGAGGGCGUGCCUGGGGGGUAAGCGCGCCCCCCUACCUCGUGGCCUCCUGGUAGAUGUCUUGACGUAGGGUCCAAGUCCUCUGGAUCAUGUUCGUUUCGAAAAAUCACGUUCCCGAAGGUUUCAUUCCGUUUGGACUCCGUUUGAUAUUCUUUUUCUGCGAAACCCUAAAAUAGGUUAGUCCCAAAAAUAAUAUAAAAGUGCAUGGAACAAUCAAAAAUUAUAGAUACGUUGGAGACGUAUCAAGCAUCCCCAAGCUUAAUUCCUGCUCGUCCUCAAGUAGGUAAAUGAUAAAAACAGAAUUUUUGAUGUGGAAUGCUACUUGGCAUAAUUUCAAUGUAAUUCUCUUAAUUGUGGUAUGAAUAUUCAGAUCUGAAAGAUUCAAGACAAAAGUUUAAUAUUGACAUAGAAAUAAUAAUACUUCAAGCAUACUAACUAAGAAAUUAUGUCUCUUCAAAAUAACAUGGUCAAAGAAAGUUAUCCCUACAAAAUCAUAUAGUCUGGCUAUGCUCCAUCUUCACCACACAAAGUAUUCAAAUCAUGCACAACCCCGAUGACAAGCCAAGUAAUUGUUUCAUACUUUUAAUGUUCUCAAACUUUUUCAAUCUUCACGCAAUACAUGAGCAUGAGCCAUGGACAUAGCACUAUAGAUGGAUUAGAAUGGUGGUUGUGGAGAAGACAAAAAGGGAGAAGAUAGUCUCACAUCAACUAGGCGUAUCAACGGGCUAUGGAGAUGCCCAUCAAUAGAUAUCAAUGUGAGUGAGUAGGGAUUGCCAUGCAACGGAUGCACUAGAGCUAUAAGUAUAUGAAAGCUCAACAAAAAGAAACUAAGUGGGUGUGCAUCCAACUUGCUUGCUCACAAAGACCUAGGGCAUUUUGAGAAAGCCCAUCGUUGGAAUAUACAAGCCAAGUUCUAUAAUGAAAAAUUCCCACUAGUAUAUGAAAGUGAUAACAUAGGAGACUCUCUAUUAUCAAAUUCACAACUACUCAACUAGCACGACUCUAAUAUCACCAUCUCCAUAUCUCAAAACAAUUAUCAAGUUUCAAACUUCUCAUAGUAUUCAACACACUCAUAAGAAAAUUUUAUUAUUAAUCUUGAAUGCCUAAAAUAAUUAAAGAAAAUUACCAUGCUGUUUUGUAGGACUCUAAAAAUAAUCUAAGUGAAGCAUGAGAGAACAAUGGUUUCUAUAAAACAAAUCUACCACCGUGCUCUAAAAGAUAUAAGUGAAGCACUAGAGCAAAAACUAUAUACUCAAAAGAUAUAAGUGAAGCACAUAGAGUAUUCUAACAAUUUUCGAAUCAUGUGUGUGUGUCUCAAAAAGGUGUGUGCAGCAAGGAUGAUUGUGGAAAACUAAAAAAUAAAGACUCAAAUAAUACAAGACGCUCCAAGCAAAACACAUAUCAUGUGGUAAAUAAAAAUAUGGAUCCAAGUAAAGUUACCGAUAGAAGUAGACGAAAGAGGGGAUGCCUUCCGGGGCAUCCCCAAGCUUUGGAUUUUAGGUGUCCUUAGAUUAUCUCGGGGGUGCCAUGGGCAUCCCCAAGCAUAGGCUCUUGCCACUCCUUGUUCCAUAGUCCAUCAAAUCUUUACCCAAAACUUGAAAACUUCACAACACAAAACUUAAAGUAGAAAAUCUCCUGAGCUCCGUUAGCGAAAGAAAACAAAACACCACUUCGAGGUACUGUAAUGAACUCAUUAUUUAUUUAUAUUGGUGUUAAACCUACUGUAUUCCAACUUCUCUAUGGUUUACAAACUAUUUUACUAGCCAUAGAUUCAUCAAAAUAAGCAAACAACACACGAAAAACAGAAUCUGUUAAAAACAGAACAGUCUGUAGUAAUCUGUAGCUAACACAAUAUCUGGAACCCCAAAAAUUCUAAAAUAAAUUUCUGGACGUGAGGAAUUUAUCUAUUAAUCAUCUGCAACAAUAAUUAACUAAAUAUCAAUUUCCAAAUAAAAAUGGCAGCAGUUCUCGUGAGCGCUAAAGUUUCUGUUUUUACAGAAAGAUUAAAAAGACUUUCCCCAAGUCUUCCCAACGGUUCUACUUGGCACAAACACUAAUUAAACGCAACCAAAACAGAGUCUAGAUAAAUUAUUUAUUACUAAACAGGAUCAAAAAGCAAGGAAUAAAAAUAAAAUCGGGUUGCCUCCCAACAAGCGCUAUCGUUUAACACCCCUAGCUAGGCAUAAAAAGUAAGGAUAUAUCUAGGUAUUGCCAUCUUUAGAAGGCAAUCCAUAAGUGGCUCUCAUAAUAGAUUCAUAAGGUAAUUUAAUUUUCUUUCUAGGAAAGUGUUUCAUGCCUUUCCUUAACGGAAAUUGGAAUCUAAUAUUUCCUUCCUUCAUAUCUAUAAUUGCACCAAUCGUUCUAAGGAAAGGUCUACCAAGAAUGAUAGGACAUGAAGGAUUGCAAUCUAUGUCAAGAACAAUAAAAUCUAUGGGCACAUAAUUCCUAUUUUCAACAAUAAGAACAUCAUUAAUUCUUCCCAUAGGUUUCUUAAUGGUGGAAUCCGCAAGGUGCAAGUUUAAAGAGCAAUCAUCAAAAUCACGGAAACCUAACAAAUCACACAAAGUCUUUGGAAUCGUGGAAACACUAGCACCCAAAUCACACAAAGCAUAGCAUUCAUGAUCUUUAAUUUUAAUAGUAGGUUCCCACUCAUCAUAAAGUUUUCUAGGGAUAGAAACUUCCAACUCAAGUUUUUCUUCAUAAGAUUGCAUCAAAGCAUCAACGAUAUAUUUAGUAAAAGCUUUAUUUUUGUUGGGGAUAUUACUACCAGUAUGACCCGCCCAGGAGGGGCCGGGUCAGCCCUAAUGGCAGGUUACAGAAGAAGCCCGAUAAACAUUCAAGAUGAUAGUUUACUAAAUGUAUAGAAGGCCUGGGGCCGGCUUAAGGACUGAUAUUGUAAACCGUUGUAUAUAAGGAAAGACUUGUAAAGAAAGGCAUGUAAGGGAAGUCACCGAGCUGGACACGAUUAUGAGCCGGCCGGGACUCUGUAGGCCACCAGGCGUCAACCCGUGUAUAUAAGGGGACGACCCGGUGGCGGUUUAGGGCAAGAAACAACCAAGUCGAUAACCAAGCCGGCGAGUUGAGCCUCUUGGAGAUCGAAACCUCAGCAAUACCAAUCCCAACUAGACGUAGGCUUUUACCUUCAUCGUAAGGGGCCGAACUAGUAUAAAAAAUCUCUCGUGUGUCCUUUGUCCCGAUCAACCCCUUUAAGCUUCCUAGUGCAAUGGCCCUACGACUAAGCCCUUGCUCUAGGACAUCUGUCGUGCCAACUCCAUGAUAGUUGGCGCCCACCGUGGGGCCAGCGCACGGUGGAUUUGAGUUCUUGAAGGGCAACUUCGAAGGGCUCAAGGGAUACGCUGUGGGCCGGAUGACCAAGAGCCGUCGCGGCAAACUCUACAUCGACGAUGAAGGCUGGGGCCCCGAGGCCGGCUCAAUCGAGUACGGGUAUCGGGUCCCCUUCGGCGAAAUUCAUGUUUUCAUCGGCCGGAUCGGCGAGUCUGGCCCUGAGCCGGACGUCCACAUCAACCUCAUCGAAACGGCUCGGCGCGCCGGGUCCGCCCGUGUUCAAUCUGUCGUAAAGCAUGCCUUCGUGGGCUGCAUCCAUGGAGGUGAAUACUCCGAAGGAUCGAUGGAAGGCGGGGAGAUAGCCAUCUGCUCUGAUACUGCAUCAUCAACAGGUGAGACGGACUCGUUGUACCAACUGCAAGAUGGCAUGCUCGGGGGCUGUUCCGAUGGCAGCAGUAUUCCGGACCCCCUUGAGCCGCCGAAUUGGGUCGGAGUCUUCAUGGCGGGGAUGCAGCCCGGGUAGAACUCCACCACAGCGGCAACAGCAGCUAUCGGGUCGGCAGCAGCUGGGUCAGGAGACCCCGCGUGCCCCCCAGCUUAGGUUUUAAUGGACCUCAUGGAUAAGCUGACGACUCUGUUAACCGUUGUGGUAGAACCGGUGGAUAAAGCCCAGCAUGACGCGGAAGUAGCACGCGUGCGGGAGGAGAUGGUGCAAGCUAAAGAAAAUCUAGCCGCGAAGGAGACCCGGAUGGCAGCAGAACGAGCAGCUUUGGAUGCUCGUGCUCAGCAGCUUCAAGCAGAAACCUUCUGGCUCUCGGUGGAUCUUAAUGCAUCAAACGAGGUCAUGAGGAGGAGGCGUCAGAAAACUCAGUCGCGUCUGCCUCUAACGCUGGAUCCGAGGAACCUGUUCCAUACACCCGGAGCUGGGGGGAGCAACCCGCUAGAGACAAACCGGGUCACGAUGCCCGGUGCACCAUUUCAGCCAUGCACCAUGGAGCCGCCUCACAUGAAUACGGCUCCUCCUUGUUAUGUAUCAACACCCCCGGGCCACUUCUCUAACCCUAUGGAAAAUCUCAUCGCAGCGUCGGCUCGUUUGGCGGCUCUCCCAAUGGAAGGCGACUCGCCAGCGGCAAUCGAAACCCGGAGGGUAAGAGAACUACUUCAGACAACUUUGGCCCAGCAGGAUGCAUACUCCUACAGUCGAGACAGGAUUCAUUCAACUCCUCGCCCAAGCUGGAGCCCGAGUUACAGUAGGCACAUGGAGUCCGCAGAGAUGUCAAGUAAUGCUCAACGCCACAACCGGCCAUAUAGGCAUGAGCCGGUGUGGGCUGGAGCCCUUAACUUGAUGGAUCAGGAGAUGAUUCGUCAAGAGGCGGAACGGGCGGCUCAGAUAGCAGUAGAGCAGACGGCUCACCAAACCUUUCCGGCUUAUCCAGCAACCUCGGUUGAGGCAGGAGUGGCCACAAGAACCGAAGGCGUACCUUGCCUGGUCCCAGCCAUACGCAAUGAGCGGUUGCCCAAGGAUUUCAAGGGGCCUCGUAAGGUGCCUAACUACACGGCUGACUUACAGCCGGGGGCUUGGAUGAGAGUUAUGAGAUGGCUAUGGAGUUGUUGGAGGUUAGCGAUGCUGCAAUGGCCAAGUAUUUUACCAUGAUGUUGGAUGGAACGGCUCGGACCUAGUUGAAAGGAUUGCCACCCAAUUCUAUCGGCUCAUGGGCAAAGUUGAAGGCACGGUUCAUCUAGAAUUUUAAGGACACGUGUAAGCAGCCAAUGUCGAUUGUGGACCUGACCAAUUGCAAGCAAGAGGAUGGAGAAUCUACAAACCAUUGGGUGCGCCGGGUCAAGGAUAUAAUACAUUCAUCUGAUAAGAUGGAUGCCGGCUCAGCAGUUUUGAUGUUGGAGAAAAAUUGCCGCUUUGAACAUCUGAAGCAGAAGUUGGGGCAGCUUAAACGUGACUGUAAUGACAUGGGGACGUUGAUGGCAGCUCUUGUCAAGUAUGUCGAUUCUGAUACCACCAAGGACCCGGUGUCUGAUGAAGAAAAGGCAACGAAGGGAAAUAAGAAUGGCAAUGGCAAGGGUCACCAGCAUAACCCAGUGAAUCAAGGAGGCAAUAAACGUAAGGCUGAUGAGUUUGUUGCUAAUACUAAUGCGAAGGGUGGUAAUCAGCAGCGCAAGGGCAGGCAACCCCCUCGAUCGGGCGGGUCAGGCCCCACCCUUGAGCAAUUGUUGAAUGAACCUUGUCCAAAACACGGCACCCGGGAGAAACCAGCCACCCACUUGUGGAAGGAUUGCACGAUCAUGAAGGCAUUUAAAAAUUCAAAUGCAUUUGAUGGGGGUCACGGCCCAGGCGGCGGCUCUGGUGGAGGUGGCUUUCAGGGCCCGGGCACCGGUUCAAGCGGAGGAGGUUUUCACGGUCAGGGUUAUCCUGGUCACCAAGGAGGAUAUAAUCAGCAACACGGCCAAGGGAAUCAGCAGCAGCAGCAAUCCGGCUAUCAAAGCAACCCGAAGCAGUUGAGUAGCAAACAGUAUCAUGUCUUUACUACCAGUUUAUGCAAGAGGGACCAGAAACUCCAUAAGAGGGCCGUCAAUGCCGUUGAGCCGGCAAUUCCAUGUUAUUUACGUUGGUCGGAGCAGCCUAUUGUGUGGAGCAGAGAGGAUCACCCGCCCCGGGUUGAUAAUCCGGGUCAUUUGGCUUUGGUGGUAGCACCUCAGGUUGGUGGGUACAAGUUUACUGAAGUGCUCAUGGAUGGAGGCAGCAGCAUCAACAUCCUCUACUAUGAGUUUACUGAAGUGCUCAUGGAUGGAGGUAGCAGCAUCAACAUCCUCUACUAUGAGACGUUCCGCCGGAUGGGAUUGACGGAUAAAAAUCUUAAACAACCCAACAUUGUUUUUCAUGGUGUGGUACCUGGUAAGUCGGCAUACCCAGUUGGUAAGAUCGAACUGGAAGUAGCCUUUGGGGAUGAGUAUGACUCCAGGGCAGAAAAAUUAACCUUUGAAGUGGUUAAGAUCAAAAGCCCAUAUCAUGCUCUGUUUGGGCGGCCGGCUUAUGCCAAGUUCAUGGCUCGACCGUGUUACGUAUAUUUGCAGCUCAAGAUGCCGGGUCACAAGGGCACCAUUACAGUCCAUGGGAGCCAAAAGAUAGCUUUAGAAUGUGAAGAAGGUGAUGAUGCCUAUGUGAAUCUGUUUGUGCAACAGAGGAGUUGAAAUUCUACAAGGAUCAUGUUGACCCGGCGGACAUGACAUCAUUAAAGAAACCAACAACAGAGCAUGAGCCGGAGUUAAAAUUCAAAUCAGCUGAUGACACUAAGACGGUUGACUUUGUGCCUGGUGAUUCAUCCAAACAGUUCAUCGUCAGCACAAACUUGGAUCCGAAAUAGGAAAGCGCACUCAUUGAGUUCAUCCGUGAGAACCGGGACAUCUUUGCAUGGAAACCUUCAGACAUGCCGGGUAUCCCGAGGGAACUCGCUGAGAACACUCUUAAUAUCGAUCCAAAGUUUAAACAUGUCAGACAGUUUCUCUAGCGGUUCAAUGAAGAAAGGCGCAAGGCCACCGGAGAAGAGGUGGCACGGCUCUUGGCAGCCGGGUUCAUUGUGGAGGUCUUUCACCCAGAAUGGUUAGCUAACACGAUGCUUGUACUCAAAAGGAAUGGCACCUGGCGUAUAUGUGUGGAUUACACAGAUUUGGACAAGGCUUGUCUGGCUGAUCCUUUUGCGCUUCCCCGUAUUGAUCAGAUCAUUGAUGCUACGGCGGGUUGCGCACGGUUGAGUUUCUUAGAUGCUUACUCCGGUUAUCAUCAGAUUAAGAUGGCAGUGAAGGAUCAAGAGAAGACAGCUUUUAUAACUCCUUUUGGGGCUUUUUGCUAUGUGUAUAUGCCUUUUGGGCUUAAGAGUGCCCAGGCGACUUACCAGCGGUGUGUGCAGAAUUGUCUUCACAAUCAAAUUGGGCACAAUGUUCAUGCCUAUGUGGAGGAUAUAGUGGUGAAAUCCAGGGAAGAGGAAACCUUGGUCACAGACCUGAAAGAAACUUUUGAUAAUCUUCGGGUUUACAAGAUGAUUCUUAACCCGGCCAAGUGUGUUUUUGGAGUGCCAGCCGGCAAGCUCUUGGGUUUUCUGGUGUCUAACCGAGGUAUUGAAGCUAACCCGGAGAAAAUCAAGGCAAUUACAUCUCUAGCCAAACCAACCUGCGUCAAUGAUGUUCAACGACUGGUGGGUCGUGUGGCUGCUUUGAGCCGGUUCAUAAGCCGGUUAGGGGAAAAGGCUAUGCCUCUGUAUCAGUUGAUGAAGAAAACGGAUGUUUUUGUUUGGAGCGAUGCUGCGAACGCUGCUUUUGAGGAUCUGAAGGCACAACUGGCUGAGCCGCCGGUCCUAGCUGCUCCAAUUGAGAAAGAGCCGCUAUUGUUAUACGUGGCUGCCAAUUCACGGGCUGUUAGUGUGGCUAUGGUGGUAGAGCGCAAGGAGGCUGGCAGAGAGCAUACGGUUUAGCGGCCGGUUUAUUAUGUCAGUGAAGUGCUAAUUGAAUCUAAGCAAUGAUAUCCACAUUGGCAGAAGCUUGUUUAUGGGGUGUUCAUGGCAAGCCGGAAGCUUAAGCAUUACUUUCAGGGACAUCCAAUCACUGUGGUUAGCUCUGCUCCUUUGGGAGACAUUACUCAAAACAGAGAAGCCACGGGGCGAGUUGCCAAGUGGGCAAUUGAGCUUGGGUCUCAUGGGCUGAAGUAUGUUCCACGUACUGCAAUUAAGUCUCAAGCCCUUGUUGACUUCAUCAAUGACUGGAUAGAGAUGUAGAUGCCAGAAGAGAAGCUGGACAACACAUAUUGGGCUAUUCAUUUUGAUGGAUCCAGGCAAUUGGAAGGCUCGGGGGCUAGAGUCGUAUUAACUUCCCCAUGAGGUGAUAAAUUUUGUUAUGUGUUACGGUUGAUGUUUCCAUGCACUAACAACCGAGCAGAGUAUGAAGCAUUGCUCCAUGAUCUUCGAGUGGCAAAGGAAAUGAGCUUGAGCCGAGUCAGAUGUCUUGGUGACUCAGAUCUAGUGGCUCAACAGGUAUCUGGCAAGUGGGAUUCCAAAGACCCUCUCAUGGCGGCUUAUCGCCGAGAGGUCGAUGCUGUUGCAGGAUAUUUUAAAGGUUAUCAGGUGGAACACAUUGACCAUCGAAAGAACGAAGCAGCUGAUGCUUUAAGCCGGCUGGGGUCUCAGCGUAAGCCGGUACCACCCAACACCUUUUUGGAUGUUUUGCAUAACCCCUCUGUCAAGUUGCCCACAGAAGAAGAUUUAGCUGUUCCUGACCCAGAGGCACAGUUGGUGGCGGCUCUUCAUGUCAUCCCAGAUUGGACGGUGCCGUUCUUGGCUUACAUGACCCGGGGAGAGUUGCCAGCGGAUGAGACCCUGGCUCGGCAGAUAACCCGGCGAUCUAAGUCCAUGACGAUUUCGAAUGGAGAGUUAUUUCAUCGCAGUGUUUCCGGAGCGUUUCAACGGUGUGUUUCCCCCGAAGAAGGUCAAGAAAUCCUUCGUGAGAUCCAUGAAGGCGAUUGCGGUCAUCACGCCGGGUCAAAAUCUUUAGUGGCCAAAGCGUUUCGUCACUAUUUUUACUGGUUGACGGCUCACGCUGAUGCAGAAGAUCUGGUCAGUAGAUGUGAUGGAUGUCAAAAAUUUGCACGACGAGCGCAUGUGCCGGCUCAAGAGCUCCAGAUGAUUCCAAUCACUUGGCCGUUUGCAGUCUGGGGGCUUGACAUGGUGGGACCUUUCGAAAGGUCUAAGGAUAAAAAGACACAUCUCUUGGUGGCUGUUGAUAAGUUCACCAAAUGGGUUGAGGCGGAGCCUCUGAGUAAGUGUGAUGCAGCCACGGCGGUUCAAUUCAUGAAAAAAGUAAUCUUCCAUUUUGGUUUUCCACACAGUAUUAUCACAGACAAUGGCACUAAUCUGUCCCAAGGGGCUAUGGAAGAAUUUUGUCAGCGAGAGAACAUCCGGCUUGAUGUUUCUUCUGUAGCUCAUCCUCAAUCCAAUGGUCAAGCUGAGAGAGCCAAUCAGGAAAUUCUGAAAGGACUAAAACCUCGGCUUAUGGUUCCUUUACAGAACACGCCGGGUUGUUGGGUAGAGGAGUUGCCUUCAGUGUUAUGGAGCAUCAAUACUACACCCAACAGGUCUACGGGUUACACACCCUUCUUCAUGGUUUAUGGAGCAGAAGCAGUGUUGCCCAGUGACAUCCGUCAUGACUCGCCCCGUGUGGCGGCUUAUGUUGAAGCUAACAAUGAAAAAGCCAGACAGGAUGCGCUUGACUUGUUGGAUGAAGAAAGAGACUUAGCAGCAGCGCGGUCAGCAAUUUAUCAACAGGACAUGCGUCGUUAUCACAGCCGCCGGGUUAAGUCCAGGACUUUUCAGGAAGGCGACUUGGUGCUCCGGCUCAUCCAAGAUCUUUCAGAUGCACACAAGUUAUCCCCACCUUGGGAAGGACCCUUUGUGGUCAGUAAAAAUUUAAACAAUGGGUCCUACUACCUCAUUGACGUUCGAGAGCAUGCAGACUCACGUAAGUCGGAAGAGGAGACCCGCCGGCCAUGGAACAUUGCUCAACUUCAGCCAUAUUACACCUGAGCCACCGGCUCUCAACAUGUACAUACGUUCACGUUGUAUAUACUAUGAUAAGCAAUAAAGUAAGACCAUUGGUCUCCUUUCUUUUCACAGACUAUACAUCUUUAUUAUUUCUUACUCACAAAUGGCUAUUAAGGAGCUGAUCAUAUUUGAAUCAAGUUUAACCUUUUUAGCCCGGCUUAUGAUCGUAUCUGAAUCUAGCUGCAAAUCUCAAGGUCAAUUGGGGGCUUCCUAUUCAAACAUAGGUCGUAUUCGAACCAAAGAGAACAUAGCUGUCAUAACCCUCUUGAUCGGCUCAAGGCCAAACUCACUUGGGGGCUUCUUGAUUGUAUCCAAAUCAUAGCUUAACCCCUUUUGAGUCUGACUUGGAUCGUAUUCGAAUCAAGGUCGUUAAAAACCUCUCAAGGUCAUUUGGGGGCUUCCUGUUCAAACAUAGGUCGUAUUCGAACCAAAGAGAACAUAGCUGUCGGUACCCUCUUGAUCGGCGCAACGACAAAGCCACUGGGGGCUAUAUGGUCGUAUUCAAACCUUAGCUUAACCCCUUUGGUCCAGUUAACUGAUCGUAUUCGAAUCAGAAACCCCCAGCUUUUUGAAUACAGAGUUAAAAUUAUGUUUAUUAUCUAUUGCUUGCCUUUUAGCUUUGUUGUUUCAAUAUUACAAAUAAGAUAGCCUAGUUUUCUUCACCGGCUCAAUUAUUGAACAACACAGCAGCCCGGGUUAUUCAAACCGAUGGCUCAAGGAUCCAAAGUUCACCACCCGGAUUAUUAAACCCGGCGAUCUAAGGAUCAACAAGGAAAAGGUAUGAUUUCUACUUAUACACGCUUACCCGCUGCGUUAGCUCAAAAAUUCGUAUUAACCCUUAUCCUUUCUUUAUAUUUGUCUCUGUUCUUUAUUGAGAUAAUUAUAUUGGCUGUGAAUUAGGGUGUCUAUGCCCGUUUGGUUCUAAACCGCCUUGCCAGUCUUUUUCUUGUAUUUGCAGAAACAGAGUUCAAAUAUCGCAGAGACAAACAUUAAAAGAUGCAUACAUUGACAUCUGGAAGCAGAUUCACAUAGAAGUAUUUUAUGCACGAUGGCAUAAGCAAACAUGCGGUGUUUUAGCAACUAAAGUUAUUACAAGGCUUUAUAAGCCUAUGAAGAUGAUCAUUGUACCUCCCUCGUCGGUUCACCACCUUCUGUUUGCUGGAAGUUGGAUUUUGACCAAUCAAAGCCGUUCAUGGCGACAAAUUCGGCUUCGUCGUCAAUCAGGCCGACCGGGUCAAUUUCCGGAGCAAAGGUAUCUUCUCUCACAAGUGGGAUCAGAUCUGCUACUUUGUAUGAAGGAGUGGCCAUCUUCUUAUUUUCACUAUCAAAACCUGGAUGGUACUUGUCAACAUUGGUGUCUUCUCCAAGACUAGUCGCCUGAGGCCGGACUUCGCGUACACACGCGAUGAAAUCAUCCUGAUCAAACGGAGACCCAUCCUCCUUUACAGUAGGGUAACCUCUUGCUACGUCCGCCGGGUCUAGGUCUGGCACCUAAGCCUUGGAGCGGCUUAGGGCAGUCAAAGCUCCGGCUCGCGCGCAGGAGCGUUUUACUUCUUGGAAUCUAGCCGGAAGGAUGGACAGCUUCUUCAGGACAUUGCUAAGCCGGUUGGGUCCUUGAUUUGUAGGAGAGAUAGCGGCCAGAGCCCGUUGUGCACCAAUGUACAAUUGUUCAACCAAGGUGUAUACGGCUUUCAGUUUAAUCAACGGGUCUUGGCUCAGAUUUUUACUUCACGGACCUGCAUAUAUUUUUAAUAGAGUAAGUUGGCGGAUCAUAUUCCGGUUUGGCAAAAAUUAUACGAAAGGUCAACUCAGGCAGCUUACCAAAGAUAGCAGCAACCAUCUGAGACACCCGGCCCUUCAAAUUGUUCAGCUCUGUUGAAAUUUCUUUCAGAGCUGUUUCGGCUGUCUCAGCUCGUCAGGUCAGGAGUGUUUUCUCAUUUUCCCAAGCCUUCUCCUUGGUAGCAAAGCUGGUCUUCAAAUUUUCCGUUGCAUCGGACUCUUGACUUGCUAGCCAGGUCUUUGCGUCCGAUAAUUGAGAAUUCAAUUCAGACAAAGCAUUCUGUGAAACAUUCAGAUAAGUCAAGACUUGGUUUCAAAUUUCAGUAUUUAAAUUCAAGAUUCAAGUCCCAAGUACUUUACGAAUAAACCACUUGACACUUGUGGGCUAAUGUAUGCCAAAUCAAAUUUUUACGACUCUACCAACAUAUUUGAAGUCCCAAGUCCUUUACAAAGUAACAGCACUUGGCACUUGGGGGCUAAUGUACGCAGUUCAUCAAGUUUAUCAAGGUUAAACCGGAGUGUUAAGUACUUUGCAGAUGGUUUAAAAUUUUGAAGUACCGAUUCAUUAAUGAUCAAAAUAAACCGGUCCUUGGGGACUAUGGGUGAAGUUUUGUUCUAUCGAUAUCGGGCAAAGAUUUAGAGGUAAAAGUAUCGGCCUAUAUUUUAAGUCUAUAGGUUAUUCUGUUUCUCUCAUAAUUUGAAGACUUGGGGGCUGAAGGAAUAUUGGUAAACCGGAAACAACGUACCUCAUACUUCAACUGAAGCUGCUUGACCAUCUCGAUCUCAGACUCACGACUGGAGUGUACAUGACUGAGAUAGCCGGAUAAGAUAUCACUGGCAUUAAGACGGUCAUAGUUGGCAACAUCAAGGCAAACCUUCUGCCUCUCCAAUGCUUCUUGCUUAGCUGUGCACCGAGCCAAUACCGUUGGGUUCCCCGGCUCAACAAAGCGGGUCCCAGUAAUUUGAACAUCUUGAACACGGGGAGACGGUGGGUCGGUUGAGCUUAACGGUCCAGCCGUAGAAGGAUUCAUAGUGGCUUUGUCAAAGGACGGCUCCGGAGGAUUUGCUUCAUUGACAAUAGGCGGGUCUUCUGGGGCGACAGUUAAUGGAGAAGGCGGCCUAGCCGGCUCAGAUGUUAGUACUGGCGGGUCUUCCGCCAAUUUUGUUACCUUCGCCUUCUUGGAUUUAGCCUGGCCGCUAAGGAAAAAAUAUAUAUUACAGGACAGUCAGCAUCAACAUACAAUUGAUCAACCCGGAAGAAAAGAGGAUUUCUGAUUACCCAGGAGCAGUCUUGAAAGCCAGAAAUUGUGUUUGUGAUGAGUCGCCUGAGGAACGAGACAUCUCCUGAAAAGGUAAAAGAAAGGAGUUAAGAGGAAUGCAAUGAGCAGGAUUCAUUAAAACAAGUUAAGGACAGUAAUAAGUAAACCUCGUUCAGGCGUUUCCGAGGGGUCUAUUGAAGGACGACGGCCGUUUCAUCUUCAAUCUCAACUUCACAGCGGCUUUCAUGUUGCUGCUUUUUCAAAUGAAAGUUGGGAUCCAAGUGAACUAAGGGGUUAGAAAACCUUACUUUACGGAUCACUCGUCGAACUUUGUGUCUUGGUAAGGGCUCUGAGUCGGAGGAAAUGAUAGUUACCUCUGCUUCCCUGGCCUGAAUGGCCCCAGUGUCAUCUUGGUAAGGAUCAGUGUCAAUAAGAUUGUUAAAAAAUGGGUCAAGGGAAUCAAGGACUACCUCCGAGUCAGACGUGUCAUCAAGUUUCAUUAAAUCUUCAACAGUGGUUUUCUUCUUCUUCUUCGUUUUCCAGGUCGUCUUCUUGGUGUUCAUGGCGGCGGCUUUCGCCUUCUUGGUAGCUUCGUGGUCAUAUUUCACCUUCCAAAAGUCAGAAUUGGCCUGCAAAGACAAGAAGAAAGAUCAGUGCUGAAGUAGUAUAGCUGGGCAAAAUACAAAGGAAAAGAGAUCAGAAUAUGCUUACUUCUGGUACCGGGUUAAGCUUGCAGAAGGGGUUUAACCCAAAAAUGUUGCAGUCUUCAUAUUUCCCGUUCACCAAAAGGUUUGACAUUGAAACAAUGCCUUCUUCGGUGAGUUCAACUGGGCUGUGACGAAGAGAGUCGUCUGGGCCUCCACCGUAUUCAUACAUCAGUUUUGAUCGACGGCUUAAUGGAAUAACCCGCCAUGAGAUCCAACAGCGGGUCAGAUCUACUCCGGUUAAACCGUUCCCCAACAAAGUGUUGAUUCUUCUGAUGGAUGGAAGCAGCCUCUUGCGUUCAGCAACGGUGAGUUUAUCCGGAAGGGUGAACUUGGAGUCAAGAUGACCGGGGCGAUAACCCGGCAGCGGCUUCUCGUUUGCUGGAGAGAUAUCCUGACAAUAAAACCAAGUUUGGUUCCAGUCCUUUGGGUGACUUGGUAAGACGAUGAGAGGGAAGACAACACCCUGACGGCGCUGAAUUGAGAUGCCUCCAAGUUCUAAGCUAGGACCGUUGGUGCAUUCAUUCUGCCAGUUCAGAUAAAAGUAUUCCCUAGACAGCUCUACGGUCGACUCUUGCUGAAGAUACACCUCACAAAGUACUUGGAAAUUGCAAAUAUUAGAUAUGGAAUUGGGUCCAAGAUCCUGAGGAUGAAGUUUGAAAAAAUGAAGGACCUCUCUGAAGAAUUUUGAACCGGGCGGUGAGAAGCCAUGGUUCAUGUGGUCAGUGAAGACAAUCACUUCUCCGUCUUUUGGAUUGGGGCGUUCUUCCUCCGGGUCAGGAGCACGAUAAGACAUGACAUUUUUUGAAGGCAGAAACCCAACGAUGAAGAACUCUUUUAACUGUUCCUCAGUUAUGGAUGAGGGGACCCAGUUAAAGAUGGUGGGUGUCUUUGACGGCAUGAUGUGCAAAGAACUGAAAAAUAAAUAACAACAUGCCGGUUCAGUUUACGGUCAGUUAUAAAACAAGUAAUGGCGGUUUAACUAAGGGCUAAUGACAUAUAGGGAAAAGAAAGCCGGAGCGGUAAGCCGCCAUGACUACAGAUUUUCUCAGAAAGCAGAUUCAGCUAAGUGUCGGCAUAAACACGUUUUACCAAGCUGUCAUUAUUAUUUUGGAUCAAAUGGCUGUUCUGAAAAGAAAAAUAUUCUAGACCUAAAUAUCUAGUACAAAUGGGUUCAUCAGAUAUAACAAAGCAUCUAUACAGAGAAAAAGGGAUCUACGGGUAUCAAAAUGGAUGCCAAACAACUACCACGCGAGUUAUAUUUCCUUUUUGGAUCCCUAGAGGCUGCGGAGGAAGAACUACCAGGAAAGUUCAUGAAGAACGAUGAAGAACACCGACGAACUCGCAAAGCCCUAAUGCAGAUCUAAAAAGAUUAAGAAGGUGAGACUUACGGGUGCGGAUUCACUGUGGAGAUUCGUCGCGUUUCUCUGGACAAGUCAGGUCGAUGCAGCGGCCUGAGGUGGAUACGAGGAGAUCUACGGCGGCGGCGGCGGUAGAGCUCGAGCGGCAGCGAAGCAGAGAGAGGAGGAAGACGACCGAAGGAGGAGAAUGAAAAAGACCUAAGUGGUACCUAUUUAUAAGGGAGUAAGCGAACAGGCGGGCGCGAAAAUCAAGGAGACCCGAAUAAUGAUUAUCCAAAUAAACGGACGCCUCGAUUCUCGGAAGGCAUUAAAAAAUGAAAGAUCCGUCGAAAGAUGAUGUCAUGAAGGUUUUUUGUGUUUUCAGAAGAUGACGUCACGGCGGGUUACAGAAGUUUUCAGACAGAGGAUGGAUUCCACCUAAGUAUUGAAGAUUGAUAGAGAACAAAGUUCAAAGUCAACCUGGGGCCUAAUGUUGGGGAUAUUACUACCAGUAUGACCUGCCCAGGAGGGGCCGGGUCAGCCCUAAUGGCGGGUUACAGAAGAAGCCCAAUAAACAUUCAAGAUGAUAGUUUACUAAAUGUAUAGAAGGCCCAAAGGCCUAGGGCCGGCUUAAGGCCUGAUAUUGUAAACCGCUGUAUGUAAGGAAAGACUUGUAAAGAAAGGCAUGUAAGGGAAGUCACCGAGCCGGACACGAUUAUGAGCCGGCCGGGACUCUGUAGGCCACCAGGCGUCAACCCGUGUAUAUAAGGGGAUGACCAGGUGGCGGUUUAGGGCAAGAAACAACCAAGUUGAUAACCAAGCUGACGAGUUGAGCCUCUUGGAGAUCGAAACCUUGGCAAUACCAAUCCCAACUAGACGUAGGAUUUUACCUUCAUCGUAAGGGGACGAACUAGUAUAAAAACUCCCUCAUGUGUCCUUUGUCCCGAUCAACCCCUUUAAGCUUCCUAGUGCGAUGGCCCUAUGACUAAGUCCUUGCUCUAGGACAUCUGUCGUGUCAACUCCACGACAAUUUUGACUAUAAGCAUGAGGAGAGUUUAGCACGGAUUGCAACAAGGAAAUACAAUCUAUCAAAGAGCAAUUAUCAUAAUUAAAUUCCUUGAAAUCCAAAAUAGUGGGUUCAUUAAUAUUUAAAGUUUUGACUUCUUCAAUCCCACUUUUAACAAUUUUAGCAUCAAGAUCUAAAGACUCCGAUUUUUUGGAACGCCAUCUAGGUAAAGGUGGAUCAUAUUCAGUCCCAUCAUUAUCAAGAUUCAUAUUGCAAAACAAAGAUUUAAUAGGGGACACAUCAAUAACUUUUAGAUCUUCAUCUUUAUUAUCAUGGAAACUAGAAAACACGCUUUUAUAUAGCAAUCUUUCUUAGCACGCAUCCUAGCGGUUCUUUCUUUGCACUCAUCAAUGGAAAUUCUCAUGGCUUUGAGAGACUCAUUGAUAUAAUGCUUAUGUGGAAUAGAUCUAAGUUUCAAAGAAUCAACAUCAAGAGAAAUUCUAACAAUGUUCCUAGCAAACUCAUCAAUCUUAAGCAAGUUUUCUUCCAUCAAAGCAUUGAAAUUCUUUUGCGAAGUAAUAAAUUCUUUAAUAUUUGUUUCAAAAUCAGAGGGAAUCUUAUUAUAAUUUCCAUAAGAAUUUUUGUAGGAAUUACCAUAAUUAUUAUAGGAAUUACUAGGAUAUGGCCUAGGAUUAAAAUUUCCCCUAUACGCGUUGUUACCAAAAUUAUUCCUACCAACAAAAUUCACAUCCAUAGAUUCAUUAUUAUUCUCAAUCAAAGUAGACCAAGGCAUAUCAUUAGGAUCAGAAGAAACACUUUUAUUAGCAAAUAAUUUCAUAAGUUCAUCCAUCUUUCCACUCAAAACAUUAAUUUCUUCUAUCGCAUGCACUUUCUUAUUAGUAGAUCUUUCAGUGUGCCAUUGAGAAUAAUUAACCAUAAUAUUAUCUAGGAGUUUAGUAGCUUCUCCUAAAGUGAUUUCCAUAAAAGUGCCUCCCGCGGCUGAAUCUAAAAGAUUUCCAGAAGCAAAAUUCAAUCCGGCAUAAAAAUUUUGUAUAAUCAUCCACAAAUUCAAACCAUGUGUAGGCAAUUACGUAUCAUUAAUUUCAUCCUCUCCCAAGCUUUUGCAACAUGUUCAUGAUCAAGUUGCUUAAAAUUCAUAAUAUCGUUUCUAAGAGAGAUGAUCUUAGCGUGCGGAAAAUACUUAGAGAUAAAAGCAUCUUUGCACUUAUUCCACGAAUCAAUACUAUUUUUAGGCAAAGACGAAAACCAAGCUUUAGCACGAUCUCUAAGCGAAAAAGGAAAUAGCUUCAAUUUAACAAUAUCAUUAUCCACAUCUUUCUUCUUUUGCAUAUCACACAAAUCAACGAAGCUAUUUAGAUGGGUAGCGGCAUCUUCACUAGGAAGGCCGGAAAACGGAUCUUUCAUGACAAGAUUCAGCAAGGCAGCAUUAAUUUCACAAGAUUCGGCAUCGGUAAGAGGAGCAAUCGGAGUGCUAAUAAAAUCAUUGUUGUUGGUAUUGGUAAAGUCACACAAUUUAGUGUUAUCUUGAGCCAUUGUGACAAGCAAGCAAUCCAACACACAAGCAAACAACAGACGGGCAAAAGGAGGCAAAUAGAGAAAGAGAGGGAGGAUGGAGAGAGAGAGGGCGAAUAAAACGGCAAGGGUGAAGUGGGGGAGAGGAAAACGAGAGGCAAAUGGCAAAUAAUGUAAUGCGGGAUAUAAGGGUUUGUGAUGGGUACUUGGUCUGUCUUGACUUCUACGCGAACCUCCCCGGUAAUGGUGCCGGAAAUCCUUCUUGCUACCUCUUGAGCACUUGCGUUGGUUUUCCCUUGAAGAGGAAAGGGUGGUGCAGCAAAGUAGCGUAAGUAUUUCUCUCAGUUUUUGAGAACCAAGGUAUCAAUCUAGUAGGAGGCCAAGCACGAGUCCCUCGCACCUACACAAACAAAUAAAUCCUCGCAACCAACGUGAUAAGGGGUUGUCAAUCCCUACAUGGUCACUUACGAGAAUGAGAUCUGAUAGAUAUGAUAAGAUAAUAUUUUUGGUAUUUUUAUGAUAAGGAUGCAAAGUAAAAUAAAAGGCAAUAAAAAUAACUAAGUAUUGGAAGAUUGAUAUGAUGGAAGAUAGACCUGGGGGCCAUAGGUUUCACUAGUGGCUUCUCUUGAGAGCAUAAGUAUUCAUGGUGGGUAAACAAAUUACUAUUGAGCAAUUGACAGAAUUGAGCAUAGUUAUGAGAAUAUCUAGGUAUGAUCAUGUAUAUAGGCAUCACGUCCGAGACAAGUAGACCGACUCAUGCCUGCAUCUACUACUAUUACUCCACACAUCGACCGCUAUCCAGCAUGCAUCUAGAGUAUUAAGUUCAAGAGAACAGAGUAACGCUUUAAGCAAGAUGACAUGAUGUAGAGGGAUAAACUCAUGCAAUAUGAUAUAAACCCCAUCUUGUUAUCCUCGAUGGCAACAAUAAAAUACGUGCCUUGUUGCCCCUACUGUCACUGGGAAAGGACACUGCAAGAUUGAACCCAAAGCUAAGCACUUCUCCCAUUGCAAGAAAGAUCAAUCUAGUAGGCCAAACCAAACUGAUAAUUCGAAGAGACUUGCAAAGAUAACCAAUCAUACAUAAAAGAAUUCAGAGAAGAUUCAAAUAUUGUUCAUAGAUAAACUUGAUCAUAAAACCACAAUUCAGCGGUCUCAACAAACACACCGCAAAAAAGAUUACAUCGAAUAGAUCUCCACAAGAGAGGGGGAUAACUUUGUAUUAAGAUCCAAAAAGAGAGAAGAAGCCAUCUAGCUAAUAACUAUGGACUCGUAGGUCUGAGGUAAACUACUCACACUUCAUCGGAGAGGCUAUGGUGUUGAUGUAGAAGCCCUCCGUGAUCGAUGUCCCAUCCGGCGGAGCUCUGGAACAGGCCCCAAGAUAGGAUCUUGUGGAUACUGAAAGUUACGACGGUGGAAUUAGGGUGUUGGCUCCGUAUCUGAUAGUUUGGGGGUACAUAGGUAUAUAUAGGAGGAAGGAGUACUUCGGUGGAGCAACAGGGGGCCCACGAGGGUGGAGGGUGCGCCUGGGGGGGUAGGCGCACCCCCCUACCUCGUGGCCUCUAGGUUGAUGUCUUGAUGUAGGGUCCAAGUCCUCUGGAUCAUGUUCGUUCCGAAAAUCACGUUCCCGAAGGUUUCAUUCCGUUUGGACUCCGUUUGAUAUUCUUUUUCUGCGAAACCCUAAAAUAGGCAAAAAAACAGAAUAAUAUAAAAGUGUAUAAUAAAGCCCAAUAAUGUCCAAAACAGAAUAUAAUAUAGCAUGGAAUAAUCAAAAAUUAUAGGUACGUUGGAGACGUAUUAGUAAGAACUGGUAAGAAUUUGAGAUUUUCUUGACAGAUUUGUGACACCCACCACCACCUCUUGUUAGUAGUCUGUAGGAUCAUAUUCUUGUGUGUUUCUAUUGCUGCUAACCAUGGUAGGAUCACAAGCCGACGAGACUGACUGGGAGAACAUGAUGAAUAAGGAGCUGCAUGAUAAAUUUCAGCAAAUGAUGAGUGGACAGGUGCAAGAUGUGCUAAACAGAUUUGAAGAGACCAUGGAGAAGAUAGAUGGCAUGGAAAAGACGUUCGAAACAAAGCUCGAUAACAAGUUUAAUGAAUUGCUCGCGCGUCUUCCACCACCACCACCGGCAACAACAACAACAACAACAACAACAACAACAACAACAACAACAACAACAACAACAACAACAACAACAACAACAACAACAACAACAACGUCGCUUUCCAAAUCAAGUGGGACAAGCACAGCGCGUUCACAUUGACCCUGAGCACAAUUCUGGUGCCGAUGUUGAUGCUUCUGUCGCUCCUGCUGCUACUGCAGAGGUGGAGGACCAUUACGAGGAUGAGGUUGAUCAAAAUCAGAACUACGUGCAACCACCAGCACCACCACCACCAGGUCGUCCUCAGGUAUAUCAUCGCAACGGUAGGGCUGCACCACCAUAUGAGGUACGAGAUCAUGACCAUCUUCCUAAAAUGAAAUUGAAUAUUCCAUCAUUUGAGGGUAGAUAUGUUCCUGAUAUAUAUCUUACUUGGGAGUUAGAAACUAAACAACGUUUUACAUGUUUACAAUAUCCUGAGGAGAGAUGUGUUCCUGCUGCUGUUUGUGCUUUCACUAGCUUCGCAUGUGUUUGGUGGUCUGAACAUUGUAGAUUAUAUCCUAUUCCAACUACUUGGGCUGCUUUGAAAACUGCUAUGCGUACUCGUUGGGUUCCACCAUAUUAUCAACGUGAAUUACUUCAAAAAUUGCAGCGUUUAAGACAAGGAAAAAAUUCUGUAGAAGAAUAUUAUCAGGAAUUACAAACUGGCAUGAUUAGAUGUGGUAUUGUUGAGGAGAAUGAAGCUAUGCUUGCACGUUUUAUGGGUGGAUUAAAUAGAUAGAUUCAGACCAUUCUAGAGUAUAAGGAGUAUACUAAUAUCACUCGUUUAUUCCAUCUUGCUUGUAAAGCUGAACGUGAAGUGCAGGAUUGAUAGGCAUUGGCGCGAACUAACUUUUCUGCAGGUCGAUCUUCAUCAUGGACACCACGUGCAUCCUCUACUUACACUACACCAGCACCUCCAUCAGGUGCCACCUCCAGUCGUGAUACAAGAAAGCAGGCACAACCACCACUAUCUGCCAAGAGCACACCUGCCGGGCCUACACAGAGCUCUUCUUCUUCCAUGGCAUCAAUAGGGCAUACAAGUGAUAUUAUUUUUCGUCAUUGUAAGGGAAGAGGACAUUUUGAGAGAGAAUGAAAAUCUCAGCGUGUGAUGAUUGCUACUGAGGAUGGUGGGUAUGAGUCCGCUAGUGACUAUGAUGAGGAGACUUUGGCUCUUAUUACACAUGAAGAACACGAUGGAGAUGAUUCUGAUCAUGAGACGCAAUACAUGGCUGCUGAAGAUGCUGACAUGUAUGAAUGUUUAGUUGCUCAACGUGUUUUGAGUGUGCAGGUUACACAAGCUAAGCAAAAUCAGAGGCAUAAUUUGUUCCAUACAAAGGGAGUUGUGAAGGAACAUUCUGUUCGCGUCAUCAUAGAUGGAGGGAGCUGCAACAACUUGGCUAGCAUGGAGAUUGUGGAGAAGCUAUCUCUCACCACAAGACCACAUCCACAUCCUUACUACAUCCAAUGGUUCAACAAUAGCGGCAAGGUUAAGGUAACGCGUAAUGUUCAUGUUCAUUUUAGUAUCUCUACAUAUGUUGAUUAUGCUGAUUGUGAUGUGGUACCCAUGCAAGCAUGUUCCUUAUUACUUGGUAGACCAUGGCAAUUUGAUAAAAAAAAUUGUAUACCAUGGUAGAAAUAAUCCGUGUAUUGUUGUCAUUGUCAUGCAUCUCAUAUCAUGUCAUCAUGUGCAUUGCAUUUGCAUACGUGUUAGUCUCAUGCAUCCGAGCAUUUUCCCCGUUGUCCGUUUUGCAUUCCGGCGCUCCUAUCUCCUCCGGUGGUCCUUUCUACCUUCUUUUCGUGUGUGGGGGUUAAACAUUUCUGGAUUGGACCGAGACUUGCCAAGCGGCCUUGGUUUACUACCGGUAGACCGCCUGUCAAGUUUCGUACCAUUUGGACUUCGUUUGAUACUCCAACGGUUAACCGAGGGACCGAGAAGGCCUCGUGUGUGUUGUAGCCCAAUACCCCUCCAACUUGGCCCAAAACCCACCAAAACCCUCUCCAUCAUCUAGAGCGUUCGAUCACAAUCGCGUGGCCAAAAACCGCACCUCAUUUGGACUCUCCUAGCUCCUCCUAUGUCUAUAAAUAGCACCCCCUUCGAAAUUCACGGGUCUCCCCUCCCCCCUAAACCCUAGAUCCACUCAUCCGCGCAACCGGACGUGUCCGGCCCGCACCGGAUAGCGUCCGCCCACCGCCUCCGGCCAAUCAGGAAGCGCCAAGUGGGCGCCGAGNNNNNNNNNNNNNNNNNNNNNNNNNNNNNNNNNNNNNNNNNNNNNNNNNNNNNNNNNNNNNNNNNNNNNNNNNNNNNNNNNNNNNNNNNNNNNNNNNNNNNNNNNNNNNNNNNNNNNNNNNNNNNNNNNNNNNNNNNNNNNNNNNNNNNNNNNNNNNNNNNNNNNNNNNNNNNNNNNNNNNNNNNNNNNNNNNNNNNNNNNNNNNNNNNNNNNNNNNNNNNNNNNNNNNNNNNNNNNNNNNNNNNNNNNNNNNNNNNNNNNNNNNNNNNNNNNNNNNNNNNNNNNNNNNNNNNNNNNNNNNNNNNNNNNNNNNNNNNNNNNNNNNNNNNNNNNNNNNNNNNNNNNNNNNNNNNNNNNNNNNNNNNNNNNNNNNNNNNNNNNNNNNNNNNNNNNNNNNNNNNNNNNNNNNNNNNNCCGUGCCGCGCCGGCCGCCGCCGACCCCGCCGCACCACGGCGUCGCCCCAGCACCAAGUCCCCAGCGAGCUCCCUCACUCCGGCCGCCUCGUCCUUCUCCGGUGAACAGUGAAGUCCGGCGAACCUCGUUUCCCGUGCACUGCUACAGUAACCGGAUCCAGAUCCAGAUCCAAAACUCGGUUGACUUUCUCCCGAAACCCUAGAUAAAUUGCAUUUUUUAUCAUGCUAUAUCUCCGCAUCCGUAGCUCCGUUUUGGGCGUGUAGCAUAUCAAAAUGUUCGCCUCAGAGAGUACAUCAUUUCAUCUCAUUGCAUCAUUUUCAUUUGAGUUCAUCUUGAUGCCCCAAAUGCUGUUGGAAGAGAGCUAUUUGAGUUAAUUGUCAGAUCUGCUGCACCAAAUAGCUAUUUGUCAUUUUUGCCAUGAUUAACGUGUGCAUGAUAUGCUCGUGAGCUCUACAUGAGUUUUGUUAUAUGCUUUGCCAUCUUUACAAAGGUGCUAUCCAUGUAUUUUUAUGAUGUGUGUGGUGACUAGCACAAGCUUGCAAAGUAGUGCAUUCGUUAAUGCUGAUUUCAGGGACUUAGAAAUUUCACCAAGUCCUUGAUCUGUUCUUAUCAAUAUGCCAUAUGUUCAUGUUGUUUCCUAGUGAUCCGUGCCUCUUUAGAGGAUAAUCAGUAAGGAUGAUUUGUUAAUCUUGUGGUGCUCUAUCCAUCCAUGUCUUUGUUUGCAUUUAUGGAGCACCCUAGCUUGAGUCAAUCGAGCUCUACUUUUGCUAUUUUGUGAUUCCUGGCAGAUUGUCUACUUGUUAGCGAUUUUGCCGAGGAUGUUGUUGUUGAUCCGUGCAUGCUAUGUUGGUGUUCUUACCAUGUCUAGCUUAUACAAUGUGUAUUCUUGAUGGGUGUAUGCUUAGAUUGUCAUGACAUGCUCUGUAGUGAGUACAUUGAGCUCGUAAACAUGCCUACUUGCUAUCAUAUUUGCAUGCUCCAGUUUUUCACUAAGUCUGUGAUCUGCUAUGUUUUUGCCAUGUUCACAUGCUUGCAAUUGUAUUUUCUGAUCCCUUUUGACUCAAGGUCACUAAGUGACUUUUGUUAAGAUCUUUGAGUAGAUCCAUGCCAUGCCUUGCUUUGCCAUGUUAAGUUCCUGUAACAUCUAGUUUUCAUGCUUCAAAGUGUGCUACCUGAUCUGAAAUUCCAGACUUGUGUUAAUUUCACUAAGUCUGAAAUCUGUUUAUCAAUUGCACUUUUGCCAUGCUUGUUUGAACCUGUUAAUGGAUGAAUUGGUCGUAGCUCAGUGUUCAUCUUUUGUCAAGCAUCACGAAUGGAUCCCUGCCAUGUAUUUUGUUGCCAUGUUUGAGUGUUGUAGCAUAAUUAUCUUGAUGCAUUUAGAUGGCUACUUGCUGUUUAUCGCAGACCGGUGCCAUAUUUGUUUUGCUUGCCAUUUCCAAACCGUGCCUCCGAUUCCGGUGUUCUUUAUAUCAAUUUCAACCGAAAUCACCUCACCUUUCCAGUGGCAUUCUUGGAUUUCCAAGUUGAGGCCAGGUUCAAUCAUUCCUUGUCAAAUCUUGCAUGCAUCACAUACCGCAUCCCGCAUAGCAUACCAUGUUUGCAUCUUGUUGUUUGAGCAUUGCACGUGGUUGAUUGUGUUCCUUUUGCUUGUUUGUCUUGUUUGGGUAGAGCUGGGAGACGAGUUCGCUAACGAGGAGCCCGUUGAGUUUUAUUUCGAGGAUCCAGUCAACUCUGACAACUUUGCAGGCAAGAUGAUCAUACCCUCGAAAUCACUUCUAUCUUUGCUUUGCUAGAUGCUCGCUCUUUUGCUAUGCCUAUGCUACGAUGCCUACCACUUGCUUAUCAUGCCUCCCAAAUUGCCAUGUCAAACCUCUAAUACACCAUGUCCUAGCAAACCGUUGAUUGGCUAUGUUACCACUUUGCUCAGCCCCUCUUAUAGCGUUGCUAGUUGCAGGUGAAGAUUGGAGACCGUUCCUUGUUGGAAUAUUGUUUAUUGUUGGGAUAUCAUUAUAUUACCUUGUUAUCUUAAUGCAUCUAUAUACUUGGUAAAGGGUGGAAGGCUCGGCCUUUUGCCUAGUGUUUUGUUCCACUCUUGCCGCCCUAGUUUCCGUCAUAUCGGUGUUAUGUUCCCGGAUUUUGCGUUCCUUACGCGGUUGGGUAAUAAUGGGAACCCCUUGACAAAUCGCCUUGAAUAAAAACUCUUCCAGCAAUGCCCAACCUUGGUUUUACCAUUUUCCACCUAGCCUCUUUUUCCCUUGGGUUUCCGGAGCCCAAGGGUCAUCUUAUUUAAACCCCCCCGGGCCAGUGCUCCUCUGAGUGUUGGUCCAAACUAGAGCCCUGUGCAGCGCCCCCUCGGGGAAACUCGAGGUUUGGUUUUAGUUGUAUGGAUUCCUCAUCUGAGUGUGCCCUGAGAACGAGAUAUGUGCAGCUCCUAUCGGGAUUUGUCGGCACAUUCGGGCGGUGUUGCUGGAUUUGUUUUAACUUGUCGAAGUUGUCUUGUAGAACCGGGAUACCGAGUCUGAUCGGAAUGUCUCGGGAGAAGGUAUAUCCUUCGUUGACCGUGAGAGCUUGUCAUGGGCUAAGUUGGGACUCCCCUGCAGGGAUUUGAACUUUCGAAAGCCGUGCCCGCGGUUAUGGGCAGAUGGGAAUUUGUUAAUAUCCGGUUGUAGAUAACUUGAAUCUUAACUUAAUUAAAAUGAAUCAACUACGCAUGUUACCGUGAUGGUCUCUUCUCGGCGGAGUCCGGGAAGUGAAUACGGUGUUGGAGUAAUGUUUGCCAUAGGUUGUUCUAUAGUUACUCGUUCGUGCUUUGCCUUCUCUUCUCGCUCUCUUUUGCGAACAGGUUAGCCACCAUAUAUGCUAGUCGCUUGCUGCAGCUCCACAUAUUACCUUGCCUUACCUAUAAGCUUAAAUAGUCUUGAUCGCGAGGGUGUGAGAUUGCUGAGUCCCCGUGGCUCACAGAUUACUUCCAAACCAGAUGCAGGGCCCGAUGACUCCGUUCCAGAUGAUGCGCUUGAGCUCAAGUGGGAGUUCGACGAAGACUCACGCCGUUACUAUGUGUCUUUCCCUGAUGAUCAGUAGUGGUGCCCAGUUGGGGCGAUCGGGACCAUGUCGCUUGUUGGGGUUGAUCUUUUAUUUUGGUACCGUAGCCGGACCAUGAUUGUAUUGGUUGAUGUAAUGCUAUUUAUGUACUUUGUGUGACGUGGCGAGUGUAAGCCAACUAUGUACCUUUCCCCUUAUUAUGUAUUACAUGGGAUGUUGUGAAGAUUACCUUACUUGCGACUUUGCUUUCAAUGCGAUUAUGCCUCUAAGUCGUGCUUUGACACGUAGGAGAUAUAGCCGCAUCGAGGGUGUUACACUAAUGAUCCUAGUACUUUCAUGAGACUAAUGAAUGAAGUUUUACGUGCUUUCAUUGGACGAUUUGUGGUAGUCUAUUUUGAUGAUAUACUGAUUUAUAGCAAAUCUUUGGAGGAACAUUUGGAACAUUUAUGUGUUGUUUUUAUUGCUCUACGUGAUGCAUGUUUGUUUGGUAACCUUGGGAAGUGCACCUUCUGCACCGACCGAGUAUCUUUUCUUGGCUAUGUUGUUACUCCACAGGGAAUUGAAGUUGAUAAAGCCAAUAUUGAAGCUAUUGAGAGUUGGCCGCAGCCCAAAACAGUCAUACAAGUGAGGAGUUUUCUUGGCCUCGCUGGAUUCUAUAGGCGUUUUGUGAGAGAUUUCAGCACCAUUGCUGCACCUCUCAAUGAGCUUACAAAGAAGGAUGUGCCUUUUGUUUGGCGUACCGCACAGGAAGAAGCCUUCAUGGUAUAGAAAGAUAAGUUGACACAUGCUCCUUUACUCCAACUUCUUGAUUUUAAUAAGACUUUUGAGCUUGAAUGUGAUGCUAGUGGAAUUGGAUUAGGAGGUGUGUUAUUACAAGAUGGCAAACCUGUUGCAUACUUUUCUAAAAAAUUGAGUGGGCCUAGUCUGAAUUAUUCUACUUAUGAUGAAGAAUUAUAUGCUCUUGUUUGAACUUUAGAGACAUGGCAACAUUAUUUAUCGCCCAAAGAAUUUGUUAUAAAUUCUGAUUAUGAAUCUUUGAAACAUAUUAAAAGUCAAGCUAAAUUGAAUCGUAGACAUGAUAAAUGGGUUGAAUUCAUUGAGACUUUCCCUUAUGUUAUUAAGCACAAUAAGGGUAAAGAAAAUGUUAUUGUUGAUGCUUUGUCUCAUCGCUUUCACAACUUGACUUCAAAAUAUUUGGUUUGGAGACCAUCAAAGAUCAAUAUGUGCAUGAUGCUGAUUUUAAAGAUGUAAUGCAGAAUUGUAAAGAAGGAAGAACGUGGAUUUGUGUGACGUGCUAACAAGCUAUGCAUUCCAGCUAGCUCCGUUCGUCUUUUGUUGUUGCAGGAGGCGCAUGGAGGAGGACUAAUGGGACACUUUGGCGUGAAGAAGACGGAGGACGUACUUGCUACACAUUUCUUUUGGCCAAAGAUGAGAUGGGAUGUUGAGCGUUUUGUUGCUCGCUGCACUACAUGUCAAAAAGCUAAGUCACGACUCAAUCCUCAUGGUUUAUAUAUGCCUUUGCCUGUACCUAGUGUUCCUUGGGAGGAUAUAUCUAUGGACUUUGUUUUAGGUUUACCUCGAACAAAGAAGGGGAGGGAUAGCAUAUUUGUUGUCGUGGAUAGGUUCUCGAAAAUGGCACACUUUAUACCAUGUCAUAAAAGCGAUGAUGUUGUUAAUGUUGCUGAUUUGUUAUUUCGUGAAAUUAUUCGCUUGCAUGGUGUGCCAAAUACUAUUGUUUCAGACUGUGAUACUAAAUUUCUUAGCCACUUUUGGAGAUGUUUAUGGGCUAAGUUGGGGACUAAACUGUUUUUUAGUACUAUUUUUCACCCCCAAACUGAUGGACAAACUGAAGUAGUCAAUAGAACAUUGUCUACUAUGCUUAGGGCUGUUUUGAAGAAUAAUAAGAAAAUGUUGGAAGAAUGCUUGCCUCAUAUUGAAUUUGCUUAUAAUCGUUCAUUACAUUCUACUACUAAGAUGUGCCCUUUUGAAAUUGUGUAUGGUUUCCUACCUCGUGCACCUAUUGAUUUGUUGCCUCUUCCAUCUUCGGAGAAGGUUAAUUUUGAUGCUAAAGAACGUGCUGAAUUGAUUUUAAAAAUGCAUGAGUUAACUAAGGAAAACAUUGAGCAUAUGAAUGCUAAACAUAAACUUGUUGGAGAUAAGGGUAGAAGCAUGUUGUGUUUGCACCUGGAGAUCUUGUUUGGUUACAUUUGCACAAGGAUAGAUUUCCUAAUUUGCGCAAAUCAAAGCUAAUGCCACGUGUUGAUGGUCCUUUUAAGGUGUUAGAGAAAAUAAAUGAUAAUGCAUAUAAACUUGAGCUUCCUGCAGAUUUUGGGGUUAGUCCCACUUUUAACAUUGCAGAUUUGAAGCCUUAUUUGGGUGAGGAAGAUGAGCUUUCGUCGGGGACGACUUCAUUUCAAGAAGGGGAGGAUGAUGAGGACAUUAAUACCAUUGUUACACCCACAGCCCCUGUUGCUAUACAUACUAGACCAAUUACUAAAGCUCGCGCAUGCCAAUUGAAUUAUCAGGUACUUUUGUUUCUUGGUAACGAUUCUAAUGCUCAUGAGAAUAUGAUGCUGCCUAAAUUGGAUACAUUUGUUUUGCUUACAAAUGAAGGGCCUAGCUUGGACAAGAAAGAUGAACCUUGGAGUAAGUUCAAGCAUGGAGAUGAUGGCAUGCGCAAGGGGAUCAAGAACGGAGUUACAAGUGAUGAUUUCAGGACUUUGAAGCCACCAUAAGGAGUGCAUGAAGCCUUGGACGAAAUAUACAAGAUGCCACUUCAUAAAUUUCAUCUAGAGGCUAUUCUAGGUGUUGUGUCACCUUAUUAUUGGGCCAGGCCCAUGUAUUUUCGAAAUACUUAAGUAUAGGCUGUUUUUAGAGUCUGUAUGUGUGGGGAAACAAGAGUUAGGGUUGGUUUCGGACCCCUCCUCCAAGGGCCACGAAAUCCCCCCCCUCUCUCUCCUCCAUAUAUACAGCCCUUAGGGCAUCGUUUAGACUUUGGGUUUUGUUUAGAUUAAAAGUUCGCCAUAGCUGCAACUUCGCGUACUUCGUUUGUGUCCAACAACCAGACCAAGACGUCAGAGAACCCCACCUUGAUAAAUAAAGCUUUCAUCUUAUAUUCGCAAUAUCCAGAUUGCAAUCUCAGUUUCUUGCUUGUUCUUCGUUUGCUCGCAGGAAAUAGACCCUCGUGGUCAGGUUGAUCGUGAUCCGUCGUGGUCAAUAACCCUCGUAAGUUGGUUUAGCGAUUGCUAAGGCGCGACGUCUUCGCACGUUCGUAGUCAGAUCGUCAAAGUCGACUCCCACAGAAAACGAUAUCUAUCUCAUCGAAACAUCGGGACACCUUCGCCUCUAUCAUAGUUUUGUUUCUUUUCUUUGGGGUCGAGAGGAGAAGACCAUGAUUAAAAUGUUGAGUGGCUCUCAUAUGCAUUAUUGUUGAUCUAACAAAGAGCCAAUAUUACCUUGUCUUCUCUCUUGAAUUGAAUGCUUGCAGAUUCCAACUUAGUCCAAUGCACUGCACUAUUAUUAUUUUCCACACUAUUCGGCCGUGCAAGUGAAAGGCAAUAAUGAUGAUUAUAUGAUGAACUUAUUGAGAUGAGAAAAGCUGGUAUGAACUCGACCUCUCUUGUUUUUGUAAAUAUGAUUAGUUCAUCGUUCCUGAUUCAGCCUAUUAUUAAGAAACAUGUUUGCAAUGACAAUUAUAUAUUAUAGUUGCUUAUGCCAUGCUUAAUUAGCUAGGAGCUUAUAAUGGUUUACCUUGCGUGCCAACAUGCUAUUAAAAUGGUUGUGAUGUGGUAUGAUAGGAUGGUAUCCUCUUUUGAACGAUUCGAGUGGCUUGACUUGGCACAUGUUCACGCAUGUAGUUGAAACAAAAUCAACAUAGCCUCUACGAUAUUUAUGUUCAUGGUGCAUUAUAUCCUACUCAUGCUUGCAUUCGGUGUUGAUUAAUUUUAAUGCAUAUUCAUGACUGUUGUCGCUCUCUAGAUGGUCGCUUCCCAGUCUUUUUCUAGCCUUCACUUGUACUAAGCGGGAAUACUACUUGUGCAUCCAAUUCCAUAAACCCCAAAGUUAUUCCAUAUGAGUCCACCAUACCUACCUAUAUACGGUAUGUACCUUCCGUUCCAAGUAAAUUUGUAUGUGCCAAACUCUAAACCUUCAAAUAAACAUUCUGUUUUGUAUGCUCGAACAGCUCAUGUAUCAACUAGGGUUGUCUGUAUCUUCCAUGCUAGGCGGGUUAUUCUCAAGAGGAGUGGACUCUGCUCCUCACUCACGAAAAAAUGGCUGGUCACUGGGAUGCCCAGUCCCAUGCUUUAUGCAAAUAAAAUCAAAAUAACUACAAAGAAAACUCCCCCAGGACUCUUGUUAGUUGGAGGCACUCGUUGUUUCGAGCAAGCCAUGGAUUGGUGCUUGUUGGUGGAGGGGGAGUAUAAACUUUACCAUUCUGUUUGGGAACCGCCUAUAAAUGUGUGUAGCAUGGAACAUAUCGAGAUCUUUCAGUUGUUAUGUUGACAAUGAAAGUAUACCACUCAAAAUAUUAUUCAUAUCUAUUUCAAAACCAAUCUCUGGCACCUCUACAAAUCCCUGCUUCCCUCUGCGAAGGGCCUAUCCAUUUACUUUUAUGUUGAGUCAUCAUCCUCUUAUUCAAAAGCACUAGUUGGAGAGCACCGCUGUCAUUUGCAUUCAUUACUGUUAGUUUACAUUGAGUAUGACUUGACUGGAUCUCUUUUACCAUGAAUUACAAUGUCUAGUCAGUCCUUGAUCUUUAAAGGUGCUCUGCAUUUAUGUUUUGUGGUCUUAGAAAGGGCUAGCGAGAUACCAUCUUGUUAUAUCAUAUCAUGAUUGUUUUGAGGAAGUGUUGUCAUCCGAUAUUUAUCAUUAUUGCUCGCUGGUUGAUUAUGCCAUUGAUAUGAGUAAACAUGAGACCUAAUUGUUAUUGUAAAUAUGGUUAGUUCAUAAUCUUUGCUGAGAACUUGUAUGCUGGCUUUACAUAUUUACAACAACAAGAGCAAACAGAGUUUGUAAAAGUUUUUCUUUAUCACUUUCAGUUUAUCAACUAAAUUGCUUGAGGACAAGCAAAGGUUUAAGCUUGGGGGAGUUGAUAUGUCUCCGUCGUAUCUACUUUUCCAAACACUUUUGCCCUUGUUUUGGACUCUAACUUGCAUGAUCUGAAUGGAACUAACCCGGACUGACGCUGUUUUCAGCAGAAUUGCCAUGGUGUUAUUUUUCUGCAUAAAUAAAAGUUCUCGGAAUGACCUGAAAAUCAACGGAGAAUUAUUUUGGAAUAUAUAUAAAAUACUGGAAGAAGAAUCCACGCCAGGGGGGCCUCCACCUGUCCACGAGGGUGGGGCCGCGCCUGCCCCCCUGGGCGCCCCCCUGCCUCGUGGGCCCCCUAACGCUCCACCGACCUCAACCUUGACUCCAUAUAUUCACUUUCGGGGAGAAAAAAAUCAAAGAGAAGGAUUCAUCGCAUUUUACGAUACGGAGCCGCCGUCAAGCCCUAAACUCUCUCGGGAGGGCUGAUCUGGAGUCCGUUCGGGGCUCCGGAGAGGGGAAUCUAUCGCCAUCGUCAUCAUCAACCAUCCUCCGUCACCAAUUUUAUGAUGCUCACCGCCGUGCGUGAGUAAUUCCAUCGUAGGCUUGCUGGACGGUGAUGGGUUGGAUGAAAUUUAUCAUGUAAUCGAGUUAGUUUUGUUAGGGUUUGAUCCCUAGUAUCCACUAUGUUCUGAGAUUGAUGUUGCUAUGACUUUGCUAUGCUUAAUGCUUGUCACUAGGGCUCGAGUGCCAUGAUUUCAGAUCUGAACCUAUUAUAUUUUCAUCAAUAUAUGAGAGUUCUUGAUCCUAUCUUGCAAGUCUAUAGUCACCUAUUAUGUGUUAUGAUCUGUUAACUCCGAAGUGACAAUAAUCGGGAUACUUACCGGUGAUGACCGUAGUUUGAGGAGUUCAUGUAUUCACUAUGUGUUAAUGCUUUGGUCCGGUACUCUAUUAAAAGGAGGCCUUAAUAUCCCUUAGUUUCCAAUAGGACCGCGCUGCCACAGGAGGGUAGGAUAAAAGAUGUCAUGCAAGUUCUUUUCCAUAAGCACGUAUGACUAUAUUCGGAAUACAUGCCUACAUUAUAUUGAUGAAUUGGAGCUAGUUUUGUGUCACCCUAGGUUAUGACUGUUACAUGAUCGAUCGCAUCCGGCUUAAUUCUCCAUCACCGAUCCAUUGCCUACGAGCUUUUCCAUAUAUUGUUCUUCGCUUAUUUACUUUUCCGCUGCUACUGUUACCAUCACUAUAAAAUACCAAAAAUAUUACUUUUGCUACUGUUACUUUUGCUAUCAUUACCACUACUAUCGUAUUAUUUUGCUACUAAAUACCUUGCUGCAGAUAUUAAGUUUUCAGGUGUGGUUGAAUUGACAACUCAGCUGCUAAUACUUGAGAAUAUUCUUUGGCUCCCCUUGUGUCGAAUCAAUAAAUUUGGGUUGAAUACUCUACCCUCGAAAACUGUUGUGAUCCUCUAUACUUGUGGGUUAUCAAUUAUGUCUAGUGACCAACUUGUAUGUGAUGUCUCAUUGAUGAAAACGAUGAUCAUGAGGAGGUGUUAUAUGACAAUGAUGUAUUAUGAUGAUAAGUUGUUAAUGAUAUGAUGAUGAUGAUAUAUUAUAACACUGGGUGAAAGAACCGCAGAUUAGUUUCAAGUGGAUGUCCAUCCACUUGAAACUAGUCCACGGUUCUUUCUCCCAGUGAUGUAAUAACUCAUUAUGAUGUAAAAUCAUUCUCUAAAUUGCUGUGGUAUGAAAACUUGUAUAAAGGUGUAUGAAUACAACAUGAAAUAAAAAAGAAAUACGGAAUAAUAGUAGUAGCGCGUGCUAGGAGAAGCGCUACUACUAAUUACCAGUAGCGCUCAUAGUAUAAAGCGCUGCUACUAAGUCGAUAUAGCAGUAGUGUGCUCCAACCUACGCUACUGCUAACCUUUAGUUGUAGCGCCUAACUAGUAGCGCUGCACCCCGCGCUACUGAUAGGCUUUAAACACGCGCUACUGCUAGGGUUUUCCCUGGUAGUGCAAGUGAUGCGUUCAGUCGUCGCAUAUGUAAUGUGCUUGACGCUCCCUCUGACUUUUGUUGUUUUGAUUUUUUUCUGUACGUGUUUUUCAGGUUUUAGAUGGGUUUUUUCUUGGGGUUCGUUUUUCGCCUUGUCAUCUGUGUGCGCGCGCGCAUAAAAUAUAUUAUGCUUCCACGAGAAGCCUGUAUUUGCAUCUUGUAAAGGCACAAAUUUGAUUUUGUAAGAAGCACAACUAUGCUUCUCGAAAAAGAAAAAAUGUGUUUCCAUGAUAAACACAUAUUUGCUUCUUGUGGAGACACAAAAUUUCUUACACGACAAGCACAAUUGUGCUUCUUGAAAAGAAAAGAAAGUGCUUUCACGAGACACACAUAUUUGCUUGCUUCUCGGGAGAAAAAAUGUGCUUUCACAGAAAGCACAAAUUUACUUCUUAUGAAAAAACAUAUUUGUGUCCUCUAGAAUCAUUGCUACGCUUCUCGGGAAAAGGGGGAAGAUCUGCGCUUCCACGAGAAGCACAUAUUUGCUUCUCAUGGAGGGACAUAUUUACUUCCACGAAACAUGUGCUUCCAAAAAGGGGGGAAAUAGAAAAGNNNNNNNNNNNNNNNNNNNNNNNNNNNNNNNNNNNNNNNNNNNNNNNNNNNNNNNNNNNNNNNNNNNNNNNNNNNNNNNNNNNNNNNNNNNNNNNNNNNNNNNNNNNNNNNNNNNNNNNNNNNNNNNNNNNNNNNNNNNNNNNNNNNNNNNNNNNNNNNNNNNNNNNNNNNNNNNNNNNNNNNNNNNNNNNGGGUUGUUUUUCUAUUGCUUUUCCUCGAGUUUUUUUGUUUCCUAUUUUUUUCUGAAGAAAUGUUCGUUGAAACCUAUUACUUGGGAUUUAGUUUCGAAAAUCUCGACGCGAGAAAUCCCACAAUGAAAAUGUUUCGGGAUUCAAGAGAUAGAACAUUUUAAAUAGAUAAAUCUACAAAAUAUAAGAAAAACUCUCAUGGUACGACAGGUGACCCACUUGUGUGCCACUUGUCAGCGUCUGAGAAAGUGGAAGUGACUUUGCAAAAGGUAACCCUUAAUUAACUAGUGAUUUCCUUUUUUUGGAAAAUUAACUUUCUUAGCAGUGGAAAAAAUUAACUAGUGAUUUCCGAGCUUCAUCUCCAGAAGCAGGGCAGAAAAGGCCUAACAAAGAUAAUUACAUUGUUUCAGAGAGAAAGUCAUGUCAAAAUGAAAACGUUGAAGAUCCUUACAAACCAAAUAUGUUGUCCUUCAUAUACAAAUUAUCCAGAAAAAUAAACUGCUUGUCAAAGCAUGUGCAUCUUGCACUUACAUAUCCCCACUUGUGCCCUAAACAGCAUCAUCACUUUUGGAUUUAGGCACAAGGUGAACAUCCUCGCCUAAAUAUGCAGUGACCUCUCUGAAUUUUGGUGUUGUUAGCCCAAGUGCCUGGCGAGCAGACAUCACAGCCUAGUGAACAGUAGUGUUGCUGAUACUAAGAGCACCUCCGAUAGAUGAUAUUGAUGUAAAAAUAAUUAACUUUUGCAUCUCUCUGAGGUUCAAAACCUCCUCUUCAACAUAUGCUGUAGAUGUCAAAAAAAAUUACAUCUACACCUUUAGAAGAUGUCAAAUACAACAUCUGAAGAUGUAAGAUGUAAAAUCGGUGGUCGCGCGCCAACUGCCCAACUGCCUUCAUUGGCUUCCGCCCACCCGCCUGUCGCCGCCCUACCUACCGCCCGUCCGCCUCCUGCCCAUCGCCCGCCGCCGCCAUGGCUGACGCCGAUGAUCCCACCGCCUCCUCCUCCGCUGCUGCCGCCGGUGGUCUCACCCACCUCGCCGCAGCUGCCUCCGGCGCGAACACCUUCCCCAAUCCGGCCUCCGCCUCCAUGUUGGCGCCCCAGUUUUGCCCCACCCCGACCGAUCGCCAUCGCGCCUGAGCCGCCAGCGAAGAAGCAGCUGUAUAGCAGCAACGGCCGGCCUUACAUCUCCAUUUGCAUCAUUUAUUGGACUUGCACUUUUACAUCAUCUGUCGAAGUUGUCUCUUUUUUAAAGAUGUAAAAUGCACUUUUUGAUUAUGUAAAUUUUACAUUUUCUAGUAUUGCAUCUCCAAAAUUGCAUUAUGUGGAAGAUGCUCUAACGGUGGAGCAUCCUCGAGAGACCGUGCCCUGACGUGAGAUGUGUGUGCUCCCUCUGUCGGACCCUAUUGGAGUUCAUCGCAGUCUGUCUCCGUCGUGACCACGUCGUCACCGUCGUCAUCCCGGACCCAUCCCUCGCCGUCCACCACCCAACUCUCUCUGGUGAUUCCCUUCCUCCUCCCCGUCCGGUCCACCACCACCCCUCUCGACGCCCACCUCCACGCACACCGCCGGAGUCCACCAAUCAUGGCCCAUGUCGCAUGCCGAUUCAGCAGGACUUAGAUGGAAACAAGCCCACCUCUGGCUCCACCCCUGGUGCACCUUGGACCUUGCUGCUAGCACCGCCUAGUGCAACCUAUCUCUCCCCCAGCUCUCCGCUCCCGUGUUCUCUCCCCAUCUAUUCCUCACCCACCUCUCAAAAGAAAAUCUAUUCCUCACCUGUGCUCCCUCUUCCAGGAGCUCUGUGUCCUCGGGAAAAUAUCAGGUGCUACCCACACUUAGGUGAUACCAUGAUAUGGGCUUCUGGGCCGUUGGAUCUCAGAUUCGACGGCUCCCGGAAGUCUAUUGUACCUAGGCGAAAUUUUGAGACUCCCGGAUGACUUUUUUGCAAAAUGCUCAAGAACUUCGGGGAGCCGUCGGAUCUGAGAUCCAACGGUUUCCAGAAGCCCGUAUCAUGGUAUCACCUAACACAUGGUAUCACCUGAUAUAUUCCCCUGUGUCCUCUGCCACCAUGCCCGGCGCCGCACCUCCCUUCUCCCUUUCGUUGAACAGAUCCGGCGACCGGCGCUGCACAUCUCCUUCUCUGUGACAAAGCCCUCUCCAUCUGAAAUAUCAAUAAGCCCUCUCGUGUUAGGCCUUUUCUGCUCUCCUUUUCUUUGAGCAUUAGGCCUUCUCUGCUCUUGUGACAAAGGCCUAGCACGAGCAACCCAAUAAGCCCACCACUAAGAAGCCCAAUACAUGCAGCACACCCAACCCCGAAUCCAAGCCCAAUCUCUCUCCAUCCAAAGAAAUGGCAGUAGGGUUCGAGAGAGACGCUCCCUGACGAUGGCGAUGCUCCGGUACGCCGCCAGCCUCGCGCUCCGCUGGUCGGCAUCUUCACCAGAGGCCGCGGUCUCGCGCUUCUUGGGCAGCGCUGGAUACGGCAACCCCGCCGCUUGCCUCCCGCUCCUCCGACGGCCGGCAACUCCGCCUGCUGCUGCGACGGCGGCGGCCUCUCGCUUAUUCAGCUACGGCAGCCAGCCUGGAUCCAGCGACACCAACUCUAUGGUACGUGCUUUUACCUCGAAUUGACUCUUUCAUUCCGCAUCAAGAUCAUACUCAGCUAUUAGCCAGCUCGAAUCAGAUGCUUGACUGAAGAACUGAACUGCAAUACGUACGUAUUAGACUGGAUUCAUCGCCAUUCGGAUUUCCAUAUGAGUCGGGCUAGCUUACAAGGGAAACCAGUUCAGAACCUAAGCUAGGCUCUCUCCUCAUUAUAAUUGCCCUAAUUCUUAGGGAGCNNNNNNNNNNNNNNNNNNNNNNNNNNNNNNNNNNNNNNNNNNNNNNNNNNNNNNNNNNNNNNNNNNNNNNNNNNNNNNNNNNNNNNNNNNNNNNNNNNNNNNNNNNNNNNNNNNNNNNNNNNNNNNNNNNNNNNNNNNNNNNNNNNNNNNNNNNNNNNNNNNNNNNNNNNNNNNNNNNNNNNNNNNNNNNNNNNNNNNNNNNNNNNNNNNNNNNNNNNNNNNNNNNNNNNNNNNNNNNNNNNNNNNNNNNNNNNNNNNNNNNNNNNNNNNNNNNNNNNNNNUCUGAAGGAAUUUAUUCCUUCUUCUGCUAAUGUCAAUUUUGAUCUAGAAGAAACGGCCCUACUCUGCUUGAUUUAGCCUCUUUCAAUAUUUCCUCACCUAUGGAAUUAAUACCCUAUUGAUUUCUAUUGUACUGUAUCUUUUUGGGUCUCUCUGUUUAAUUCAUUAAUCAUUUUCAGCCUCCUUGAACGGUCUUUUGUUUGGUUAAGAUUAGCAGUGACCUAUAGCAUAUGGCCCAUUAGCACAUGACAACUACUUUAUUUGUGCAAAGAAUUGAAACAACACAGCUCCUGCAUGUUUGUAGACAUUUAGAGCAAUGACAGAACAAGGCCGCCCAAACUAAAACAGUAGGCAUUUGCGAACUGAAAUUAAUACGAUCAAUUAGGGUAAUAUGAUGGAGAUGUUUUGUAGGCCUAUAGUGCAAUCUUCAUGCAAUCCACUAAUUACCUCUGUCUGGAAUUUCUCGUUUCUGUUACACCUACAUUGAUUGUAUUUAAACUUUCUCCGCAACAAAAUGUUGUAUGUUAAAACGAGUUCUGAAAGAUAGGUAGAGCAAUACUAGAAGUGUGUGUACAACAUUUCCCAGAUUUUUUUGUUACUUCACUGCAAGUCCAUUCAUAUAUCUUGUCGAAGGAGAUGAUAUUGGAAGAAGGCUACAGAUCUAGACGUUUGCUACUCCUUUUGUUGUAAUUUAUAAUGUCGAGUUUGUUAAUUGUUGUAGCUUGGCAAGCCUGUUGAGGAGACCAAGGAAGAUGUGUCCCCGAGGACCCACAAGUCACCUGCCAAGAUACGCAUAAUUCUGAAAUCUUUCAAUAACCAGAAGAACAAUCUGAAGGAUCUUGCGCCGUACAUGCAUAAGGUCGGGUUGCCUGAAUCGCGGUCCUUAUACACCGUGCUGCGAUCACCUCAUAUUGAUAAGAAAUCCAGGGAGCAAUUCUCAACGCAUGUGAAGAAAGUGUUUGUGGAGAAAACAGUGGAGACGCAUGAACUGGCCAAGAAGUUCUUCUGGUUGAAACGGCUUCGUAUAUUGGGGGCUCAGUACGGAGUCGUUAUUAAUUUCAAGACACGCUUGGGUAAAAAGAUUGGCUGCAGCAAAGGUGGUGGCCUGCUUCGACAUCCAAAACAGGGUUCAGGCAUAGAAUAAAAAGGAGGUAAUAACAAUAUAACAAAAUGUUUCUUGUGGGCAACUGAAUUCCCCUUAUUCAAAAUAAACCAUACUAGGAUGGUCGCUGAGGGAUUAAUUGGUGUUCGCUUCCUGGCUGCUUUCUUGUCUUGUAGGUACUAGAGCUGCUUCAGGCCACAUAGAAGCUACCCAUCCAACUUGUGUGGAUCUUAAUUUCUGGCCUUGGUUUGAUCUAGCAUAUAAGUAGUACUGUUUAUUCUAUGUAAUGUCAUAUGGAACUAAGGAUGCAUGUGACGUAUCUGAGGAUGUUGCUUUUUUGGUAACCAAAAAAAAAAACUCCUGGGCAGUGUCCCGGCAGAACAAGGGCAGUGGGGCUCGCUUUUCUUUCUUGAUCAACAGGCAUUCGUGCGUGCCGCCUUCCUCCCUGCUCCAAGUAAAUAGAUAGAAGGCGUCUACCAUCUGCCGGUUGCUGCAGAACACUAACCGACCGAGGGGAGAUCCGAUCGGCAAUGGCGACGCCGAUGCUGCGAUCUGCCGUUGCUGGCCUCGCGCUCCGGCGAUCGGCAAGCCUGAGGCUUCCUGCUCGCCCCGCGUCGGCCGUUUCCUUCGGCAGCAACACCGCCGCCGGCCGGGUACGUACGUCCCAAAAUAUUAGCUGCGCGCAUGCAUCACCUCGAAUUCGCAUUGGCUUAUCAAGGAGAAGCAGGUGGUGAGAUUAAGAUGUAGGCGAACAAUUACGCAAAAGACACGCUCGCGACUUCGCAGAUCUCACAAGUUUACGUAAUCUUAUGCGCGUUUCUACUUUGCGGGGACAAUAAAUCUUCUGCACCUUCAUUGACUACAUAAUGGCGGCAUCGAAUUUAAUUUGUCGGUGCCUGCUUGUACAUGCAGUUCGAGAAGCGUCAUGUCGACGAGAAGAACGACGAGUCAGAUGCAGCACGGCGACGACGCAACCAAGAAAGGUUAGCAAAACUCAUCGAUUAACCUCCUAUGGCUAAUCUCAUUAAUCAAGUAUACUAAAAAAAACUUGCCGGCAUCUUGAUUGAUUGUUUCACUUGCUCGCGCGCUCCUCUCUCUCAGACAUGGCAUCUCUCGAGGCCACGCCGGUGAUUCUGGUGAUUCUGCUUGGAUGAUGAUGAUGUUGGACGACGACAGGCCUCCUUCCACCGGACCAGACUCUACUGCGGGCUCCUCCUCCACCUCCCGUGCGUCUGCGGCGGCAGAGUUGGACGUGUCCUCGCCGUCGUCGGGGGGCUUCUGGGGCGGGGAAAGCUCCUCGUCGUGGGGCUCGGGAGGAGGGGACUCAGGCUUCGGAGGAGGGGGCUGCUCGGGAGACUAGCCAGCUGUUGGACACUGGCAAGUUUUACUCCGUUUAUUAAUUCCUAGGACAAGGAGUAUAAACCACGUUCAAUUAUUAUUUACAUGGGAUUUCUUCGCGCAAUAUUUUAUGAAAGAACCGAAUGAUUCCCCUCCUUGUGCUUAGAUUUUAAACGGUCACUUAAAGAAGGGAUCAUUAUGCGUGCAUCGAUUUCUAUGGAAUCCUUGUUUUUGUUUUUGUCUCUUGGUCUGUUCCUUGUUUCUUACGAGCCUCGUGUAGAUGAAAAGUUUCUUUAGGCUCUGCUAUGGCAUGUAUUGCCGGACGCCCGAACCCAAUGCUUUGUGUUUUUGCUGAUGAGAUCACGACAUCUCCCACGUCGACCUGCAAAUCGGUCACCCCAUUCGUUCCUCGCCGAUCAGAGGGAACCGGUCUGCGUGUAGUCGGCCAUUCAAAGCAAGCCACAUAUGUCCAGUUGCUUUUAGAUCGAAAUUUAAUAAAAUUAAACAAAUUUAAUGCAUAUUUAAACAACUUAGACGAUAUACAUUUGUGCUUGGAUAAUUUUUCAUAAAACCGGAUGGUUUUUGACAUAUUUAAACUAUAUCAGACUCUAAACCUAGCCUAAUUGACUAACGGCGCCCGUUCCUCAUGUCCGGCAGGCCAAGACACUGGGAACUGAAGCUCCGUUUCUGCAGCCUGCAACGGCUAAUCGGUCGAUGAUGAUGAGCCCGCCAAGCUUGGCUUCAGCGGGAGCAGAAGAGCAGUGGCCUUUCUGGGAUCUCAGCACUGGAGACCUCCCAUGCUCUAUUCUUUCUUGCUGCCGGCGGCACGUGUCGGCUUCAUGGUCGUGGCGGCCGGGCGCGGCAUGACGGAGUUGGGCGAUAGGAGUCGACCAGCGCCUCCUACUCGACCACAUCCAUGUCCUGCGCGAUCAUCAUGCUGUUGGCAAGUUGCUCCUCCGCACGCCGGUGCUCGUCGAGGAGGCAGAGGUUGUACUAUUGGUCGGCCUGCGCCUGUCCGGACGCGGUUCCCGCUCAGCCAACAUCAUUUCGGUGUAGUGAGCACGGGCCUCACCCAUGGUGAUGCCGGCAUGGACUGGCGAGGAGGGUGCCACCAACUCCUUGUUGGUCGCGCCCUUCAUUGGGACAUCCGCAAUGUCGACCUCCGUCCGCCUGUCCACCGCAAUUGCGGCGAUCUCCGUCUUCUGCUCGGAUGAGAGGCUGUCCCAAAUGGCUUUGGAGCUCAAGAAGGCCAUGGCAGGCAUGGUGCGGAGAGGAGAAAGGAAGCUAAGGAGGAUGCAGCUAUAGCCGGGGCUGGAGUUGGAGCUUAAAUAACCGACGAAUGGCAGAGCAAGCGAGGGUGGUUAAGGGUGGUGGCAGACGGACGGAUGGCGCCGGAGUAGGUUCCUCGGCAACCGCACAUGUUUAGUGUAGGGAGGCCAAACAAUGAGUUGUCGUUCACGUGCAUCGAGAAGCGGCACGGGCGGCGUUCUAGGUGAGUGCGCUGCUUUAAUGCCGGAGCGCUAGUAUGAGGUCGUGUUGCUCUGAGCCAACAUGAAUACGGCACUGGUGUUCUGAAGCGGCGUUGACUGUUUUAGUCGGGAAUGUGCGCCGAUGAGGGAGGGGUUUUGGGUGGGACAGGCGGUCAGAAGCGGGCGUUGCAGCAAUAUGGACACNNNNNNNNNNNNNNNNNNNNNNNNNNNNNNNNNNNNNNNNNNNNNNNNNNNNNNNNNNNNNNNNNNNNNNNNNNNNNNNNNNNNNNNNNNNNNNNNNNNNNNNNNNNNNNNNNNNNNNNNNNNNNNNNNNNNNNNNNNNNNNNNNNNNNNNNNNNNNNNNNNNNNNNNNNNNNNNNNNNNNNNNNNNNNNNNNNNNNNNNNNNNNNNNNNNNNNNNNNNNNNNNNNNNNNNNNNNNNNNNNNNNNNNNNNNNNNNNNNNNNNNNNNNNNNNNNNNNNNNNNNNNNNNNNNNNNNNNNNNNNNNNNNNNNNNNNNNNNNNNNNNNNNNNNNNNNNNNNNNNNNNNNNNNNNNNNNNNNNNNNNNNNNNNNNNNNNNNNNNNNNNNNNNNNNNNNNNNNNNNNNNNNNNNNNNNNNNNNNNNNNNNNNNNNNNNNNNNNNNNNNNNNNNNNNNNNNNNNNNNNNNNNNNNNNNNNNNNNNNNAGUAUGUUUCCGAUUUACGAGGAAAAGACCGGUCAUCAGAUCAAUCUAGACCCACGUUGGAUGGCAAAAUACGUUUGGAUCACGCGGUUUGAGGUUCGAUGUUGGAGAUGCCCUUACACCUUGGAUCUGAACGACCCUUGUAGUUUUUGGUUUCUUUGAUGAAAUGGGGAGUUAUGCUCUUUCUGCCAAAGAAACCAUAUUGAAAUGUCAUCACAAAAAGUUCCCCACACAUGAGUAAGGUGCAAAUUUAUGAUUAAAAUCUUUCAUGAUCACUCGACUAAGCAAAACUGAGCGUGACUUGUGUUUAGGCAAAGCUUACGAAUCCGAAUAGGCUGGACAGAUUUUCCCUCUAAUGUACAACUAGAAAACGGGAUUACCUCUGUACACCGGGUGCAAAUGAGCGCGGCUCAGAAAUGGAUAAUUGGAUAUUCGCAUUUGAGUUGAGUACUUAUCUAAGUGAAGAUGACAGGUUGUAUUAAAUGAAAAACUAUCUUUACGUUGGCUAGCCCCGAAGUCAUCUCACUAAGAUUUGGGUGGACACGAGCACAUCCGCUGUCAAGUGGCUCAAAGAAACCCGAAAGAAUUAGCAGAAUUUCAAAAAAAUAACUGUCAUACUUGAGCCACAAUGAAUUGCAUAACAGCAAACUCUAAAAAUUUGCAAACCAACAUUUAAGAUAAAACCAGUAGCAAGCAAUAUCACCCAGAUAACAACAAGCAAUGGAAGAAUCUCCAAUAUGUAAAGAGAUGAAAAACACCAUAACAUUAUAAGGUGAACGACCAAACAUAUGACAGCAUAGCACAGAGCAUACGAUUACUAACCCAUUCGUUGUUCUGGUAACACAGGCAAAUAGCAAAUAGUUCAACAGAUAUGCGUCGACAUAAAGGUUCUAAGCACGAGCUUCAAGGAGUCUCCAUACAAAGGUAGCAAAAUCUGAUGGCUCAGACAAAUACUAUCAAGGUGUGCAUAGGGCAGUUUAACGGUAGCGGCGGAGGGAGACGGUCUGGUUGCGCUUCCAGGUGGCUCUCCUUGAGGGCCUGUUCUUGUGGUGGCGGUGGCCCUUGCCACGCAGACCACGGAACUUCUUUCCGGCCGACGUUAGGCCACGAAGCUCACGG
rnacentral:lncRNA from 1 species